AAAAAUCUUAAUUAAAGAAAAGAAAAAGAAAAAGGGGAAGAGGUGUAGGAUACCGAACUUCUGAAAAUAGGAAGUUACGGUAGGAUAGUAUGUCGGAGUUUAUUAUAAAAAUAAAUAUAAAUAAAAAUAGUGUGAGAUACUAUUUUAUUGGACUCAUAGAAGUAAUGUAUAAGUUGGAAAUGACCUGUGCUGAAAUCGGAGCGAAAAUCGAAGAUUUAGAAUUUUCUGUGAGGAAUGGGGCAGAUAAAUUAGCAGAAAAUACACAGUGUCAGAAAAUUAUGAAAACUGGAGGAUAUGUCAGAAUUAUUUUUAUGAGGCUAGAUUUAAAGUUUCAGCNUUUAUACUUGUGCCUUGCUCUUACUUGUUAGCACUUGUUGUGCUCUUGUGAUUGUGUACUUAUGAAUUGAUUCCUGGGUAAAUUCUUGUACAUGAUCGUUUGCUUAGCCUUGGGCGGACAGGGGAGACUCUGUCCGUUCGGCGUCUGUUCGACGCGCUCGAACCGGACCAAAUUGAUAGCGGUCUCGGGGCGUGACAAGAGGAGAGCUCCCUCACCUUCUUUUCCACUGCUGGCAAGCCCAGGAAACACCAAGGGGCGCGGGGUGUAUUUGUAAUGAUGCUGCAAUAGCAAAAACACCCCUGCAGUUCACACUGCUCAAAACUGCCACUGCGUACAGGUACACGGGUCCACGUACCGGUACACAUCCCACGAAAUAGCCAAACCCGAGCCUCGGGUUGGCUGGGAAGCUGCUUGUGUACCGGUACACGAUCCCGUACCGGUACAGCCAUCAACUCUGUACCGGUACACAGCCCAAUGAAGGCUACUCGAGAGCUAACCAAAAAUUCGAUUUUUCGGGUUUUGGUGCUAGGCUUCAAAUCUCCAUUCUCGGGACUCGAGCCAUAGGUCGGAACACUGUCUACGACCCAUCAGAAAGUCUGGAAAAACUCAGGACACCGUCCAAACACUCGAACCUUGCAAUUUGCAAAUGUCCAGUGUGUUACAUUCUUCACUCCUAAAAAGGAGUUUCGUCCGCGAAAUUGCUGGUCAACUACAACAAACCUAUCCAAAGAGGAUGGAAGAAGCGCUCUAGUAGCGCACCAAACAGACCAUGGUGGUCUCAAGUAUGCCGGAAAACCCCAAGGCACAAACACAACAAGAUCUCGCGACGCCAAGGCUUUGGCAUAACACAACCCAAACUUUCGCAUAAGCUCCUUGAACUCAAACCUUCACCGAAAGUUCCAUCUCUAAUCCGCACUUGAUCGACACGUCCAUCAGUUGGUCCUCACGAACCCAAGUGUUUCCGAAAGUUGAAUUUCAACUCUCACCUUUCUCGUCCAUGUCGAGGGUAAAGCAUUACUCUGCUUCAAUUACUCUAAUAUAUAGAAUUCCAUCCAAAUACCCCUCAAGGGUAGAUUCCAUGGUGCUAACCAAAGCAAGCGUCAGGGGGGGUUAAAUCCAUUACUCAUCUAUCGGAACUCCAUCGGAGUGCUCAUCUGAUCAACACUCACCAAGGAGAGGUGAUGCAACAUCCACUCAUCGGCUCAUAUUCCAACGAUGAUCCUUCAAAUCCAAGGUCAACUCUCUUCUCGAGAUGGCACAACUGAGUGCAAUUCAAUCCAAGGUUAAGUAUGGUGUACCCCCUUCCAUCUCAUUGCUAAUUGCAACUUCCACCUAUCCAUCCAAUCUUGCUUGGCACGAACGGUUCUAAACCAACAUCCAAGGUAGCCAACCUUCCAAUAGUAACAGGAACCGACGAAUCGUCCAACUCGCUCACCAAAGGUGAUCACUUGAUUCCUCAAUCGGUACGGCGAUACGAUGUCUCCACAUCAAUCUCAAACUCACCACUCGGGAGUACCCUCAAAUCCACUGCAAAACGGGGUCAGGAACUAAGCUCAAAGGCUUCAUCAAUGCACUAAGAUCAUCAUAAUAGUCCCAACUCAAGUCCAAGUAAACUCUUGCAAGCCUAGGCCAAGGGCCUAGCUUCGACAGAAGGUCCAUAACAUGACCGCUCGAAAAUUUUUGAUCUCAAUGCUUUUCCUAGCAUUGGAUGCUCCAGGUGUCCAUAGCCAUCGAGUUCAGUUCACGCGAUAGAGAGGGAUCAAGCCACAGUUCAGUAAUAACUCUCUAUCAAAGUCAUCCUGAAGCGACUGUCAAGCCAAAAUCCAUCCAAUAAGUCCUCAUAUGCAGCUCUAUCCCAAAGGGCUCAAAUCCUUGUACACGCUCCUGACAAGGGAAAUUAGUAACUUGGUACCUUCUUUCUCGCGAGUCCUCCAUCCAUCAGUGAGAGUCCCCCAACUCGAUCACUUCGAACCUGCCUACGCAGUCCAAACUCGCACUUCCUAAAAAAAAAAGGAAAUAUCCUAGGCCAUCCUUGACUGGUUCCACAAAUCCAUCCAGAGGGCUUGGGACUAUCGCUCAACAAGUCCUUAACACUGGUGGAGUACAAUAGGCUUAGGCAACAUCAUCCUCGUGAUGUCCCCACCUAGCAUCACUAUCCGUUGGAGGUACGACCUCAAACUCCAACAUCAAACAGUACUACUUAGUUUGCUUACAAUCUUAUCGAGUACACCAACAACUUAAGGCCAUUUGACAAAGUCAAUGAGCCUCAGCACGGUCCAAACACCCAAUCGUGGUUAAAUUUGAAUCACGAUAGUCGACAUACAGUCAAAAUGACCCAACUGGUCCCAUAACAAGUGAGAGGGCUUCUCCACGAAGCAAAACACUAACUAUAAAACCACCCCGCCAAUCGAGCUCACGAUUUGUGACUCGGUCGGGGACACAACGACGGAUCAAAGACAUCCUUCAUUUCAAGGAUUCUCAAUCAUCAAAAGCUAAUGGCCAAAUAGGCCCCAAAUCCUCUCCAACACUUACCCAAUUUUAGGUAAGGGAGACAGUCAACGCAACCAGCGGAAUUAAAUCCUCAAAUUGCACUAUUUCGUGCUCAAGGUCCUCAAGGCGAGUCAAGUCAGCUCGCUAUCCAAGGGUACCAGGUACCCACAACAACUCCACACCAAAAAAGGCCAAUCUAUUUGUUGGCACACAGAACCAUCUCAUAUGGUAGGGCGUUCGAAACGACACACCCGAUCAACCGAUCAUCUACACGCGCCGAAAUGUUCAACACUACAACUCCUCGGGUUGGGUCACUACAAACUCGGUGUGUCCUUGAUCUCACGAUCCAACACGUGGCUUUCCACGCUCCAGGGUCUACGCUCGGACUACCGUCCUGACCAAAACUCUGCCCUACCCGUAGGUACCAGGCCGCUGUCACACACAGCCGACUGCGCCUACCCAACGGGCCCAGGCUCCACAGUCCCCAAAUGGUCCAGGUACGGUCGUCUCCAAGCACCACUCGGCAAGCAGCCAAUCUAGGGAUGCAACUUAUGCUAUCCUCGUGAGAUCUGCAAGCAUAGCAAAACAUGCUUCCCACAACCCGCAGAUCAACCGCCUAGCUCGAUGGGCUACACAAUGUCGCAAACAGCGAACUAACAAAAUGCUAUGCAACUCGGCGAGUAGCCGAUCAUAGAUGCAAUGCACCAGUAACCAAUGAUGCACAACUCAAAUGCCACAAACGAGACUGAUACCUGUAGUCACAAACUCGGCCGCUGCUGCCUCCUCCGCCUGGGCCACGUACAGGCGCCCGCUCGGAGCCCGUUGUAGUGUUCUUGACCUUUGGAUAGGAUUGGCUUCAGUAUUAGUGACUGGUCGACAUCUCUGGAGAGUGUCGGACUGAGUCGGAGUCAAUUCUGCACGAAUUGGAUGCAGAAUUGGACUCGGCGCACUCAAAUAGGCAAAACUCAAGUUUUGCCAGAUUCGGGCGCCCAGAACAUAGUUCCGGGCGCCAUAAAUGCCCGUUUCUGCAGGGACACUGGAUAGCAGCUUGAGUUCCUGGGGCUGUCUGGAUCAUUUUAACUCUCUAUAAAUAGAUGGAAUACGCCCCUUUGCUGCUCUUUUCCUCCCUUCUUCACAGAGAAGUCCCUUUUAGCAUCUCUACCCUCGGAUUUGCCUCAAAUUGCAUCAAACUUCCAUUGAUCCAGCUUGAGAGAGUGCUGAUUCUGCAGUUCUUCAGCGGCGACCUCUAGUGUUUUGGCUCGUGCGCGACGUAGGAAGGUCGGAUUUCGACGAAACUUGGUUUUCUGGAUUCUAGACUUCCAGAGGAAUCCACGAAGCCCUGAAUUGUAGAUUUUGGUUGAGGUUAGCUUGGUCGAAUUGAGGUUUUUCUGGACUGCUGUUGGCUUUGAGCUGAAAAUGGGAUUUUUGAGUUUUUCUUGAUGUUAACUUUGUUGGCAGUGGGAUUUUGGACCUGAGAUUGUUCACCCAUUAGUAGUUGCUGGAUUUGGAUCUGUCCUCACCCGAUUUGGAGAUCAUUAGGUGAGUUUUGACAUUGGAAUGGAGAUAAUUAAGCUUAAGUGCUGAAAUUUUGAUAAAUUGAUGGUUUUUAUUGGAUUUUUGGGUGAAUUGUAAAUCCAGAUCUUGAGGGGCUUUGUUGCUGGUUUGGAGGUGUUUCCAGCAGUGUUGCUUGUGAUCCGAGACCAUCUUGCUGCCAGGAAUUGCACUAGAGGUGGGUGUAUCAUCGGUUUCGCUCCUAAGUGCAUGUUUAGUCGACGUGUAUAGUUCGAUUUUUGUAUAUCAUGCUUUAAUUCAUCGAUUAGUAUUUUGAAUGUAAUAUGAAUGUAGAAGCAUGCUGAAAUGAAUGUUUAUAUUAUACAUGUUGGACUUGAAAUUUGACUUAGGAGAAAACCUGCGUUUUGACCCGUCAUAUGCUUAAACUACCAGAUUUAGCUCUAGGAGCCGUGAUUCGAUUGUAUCGUUGCAGUAUCAGUGCGAUGGAUACCUGGGGUAGUUUAGAAAGCAUUUACGCUCGUGCUGGGGUGCCGAGCUUAUUUUUUAGCAGAGUAUAGGCUGUUUCGGGUCGUUGGGUGCCGUUCGGGUUAGCGGUGGACCCAGAUUCUUGUUUUGGUCACAGAUUGUGCCGAGGGCACGUGGGUUUGGUUUGUAGACCUGUUUUGACCCUGUUUACUUGACUUUGGCUAGUUGGAGCCUGUUUGAGCUCGACAGAGAUACGCUGCAUACUCGGUUGGGUAGUGCCCACGAGUGCCACUCCGGAGUCAGGCUUUGUGCUUUCGCGUUGGUGUCGCUCAUGCCGGUUGGACUUGCUCUCCACGGACCAGUUGUGUGGAUAGAGCCUGAUAGUUGCAACUGGGCAGGGACAGGUGUGUUCACAGUCCCAGGGACGGGUAUGUCUACAGUCCCGAUUGGAUUGGAUCAGAUUUGAUAUUUCCUACAGUUGGUUAGUGUAGAGCAUGAUAGUAUAGUGAUUCGUAGCGGUUGAGUUUAUUUCCUGCUUUUUGGCUAUUCUUGCUCCCUUCUGUAGACUUAGUGGGUGGACCGAUGUUGUUUUGGGCGGUACCCACUGAGGACUACUUGUUUUUACAGUAGUUCUCAUGCCCAGUUGUUAUCCUUGUUUUGCAGAGCCACAGGUUUCGGCUGCUGCGCCUUCCGCGGAUCAGGAUCGAGGCAAGGGCGUCGCGAGUUAGAGCCCUACACGACGUGCUGAGCUAGAGGUGCCCCUACUGCAGGUAGAUGUUUUGUUUCGAGUUUAUGUACAUAGUGGACUUAACUCGCCAGUGCGAGUAGCUUUGUAUUUUGGAUUUGGACUAUGUAUAUGAAACUCAGUUUGUUUAGCUUCUGUUUUCUCUAGUAGCUCUUUACUACUGUUCGUAGUAGUGUUUGAUUUACAGGUACAGCUAUCGCUUCGUAUACAGGGAAAAUUCCUUUGUAUACGGCGGAUUUGUCGGCGCACCCUGGGGAAAGUGUAAUCCGGGGCGUGACACCCGUCGUGACCCAUCCGUCUGUCUCUGGACCGGUGGCCUCCCGGCCUGAUAGUGGGCAGAAGACGUCCCCUGGCUGGGACCCGGUAAUACUGGUGCCGAUGCUGAAGGUGGCGCUGAUACUAAACCCCUCGAACAGUCUGACAGGAAGUGACCCUCCUGGCCACACGAGUAGCACCUGCCCUGCCUCUGUGAGCACUGCUGCGGGUAAUGACGACCACCGCAGAUCACGCAGCUCAGAGUCUGACGACGCUCGGAUCCUCUAUGCCGUGCUGAUGAGCCACGUCCUCGCGACUGGCUCCGGUUCCUGGAAUGUCUCGGCGGCCUCCCAGAGUGCGUCUGACUCGCACCCUCAGCCGCGGGCCUCUUGCCUUUUUCUUUGUUCGAGCCUUCUCGACGCUCCCGCAAGUCUGUCGCGCAGCUUUCCACGAUGAGAGCGCGGUUCACCACAUCUUGGUAAGUCUAAAGGUUGGAGGGUUGCACCAUCUGAAAGAUCGACGGCCGAAGUCCUCGCUCGAAGAUGCAAGCCUUAUCCUCGUCGUCCCGCACAACAAAGGGCGCAUAGUGUAGAAGCCGAGAGAACUCCCUCUCGUACUCGGCCACAGUCCGAUCCCCCUAGCGCAUCUCGCGCAGAUCCUACUCCAUUUUUCUCUUAACGUGGACGAGGAAGUAAUGCUCCAAUAAGAGCUCCUUGAAUCUCUUCCAAGAAAUCGCUGCUAGGUCAGUGUUGGGAUUAUCCUGGAUACCCACCCACCAGCUAUAGGCGUCGCAGUCCAAAUGGUGAGUGGCGAGCCAAACUCUAUCUCUCUCCUCCACGAAAGUGUCGUGGAAUAACUUCUCCAUGUGCAUCAACCACUUCUCAACAAUCCAGUGGUCGGCUUUCUCUCCAUCAAAGAUCCUGGGGUCGCACCUCCUGAACUCGUUGAGGCGAUCCAUGAGCCGCUGCCGCUCGGCUCCUUUAACCAUCAAGGGAAAAGUCGCCGCUGCUACAGGCACCUGAGCUGGUGGUGCUGCCAAUACCUCCUCCCGAGGGGCUACCACAAGUGUCGUCUGCGAAGGGUCGAGUACAGGGAAUGACCCCUCGGGCGCAACUGUCUCAACUGGCGCGGGUAGUACCGGGACCCGGGCCUCUCUGACAGCUGCCUGCUGCAAUAGAAGAUCCUCCAGGCGCUGCAUCCGUGCCUCCUGCCGGCGUGCCGUAUCCGCCUGCUGCUGAGCCGCCGCCGCCUGCUGCGUCACCAAAUCAGUGAGGGCGGCAAGUUGGCUCCUCAACUCACGGACCUCACCGGAUCCGGAGGUAGCGGAUGUCUCCGCUCCCUCAAAAGGCGCCGCAUCGUCCGCUCUAAUAGACUUAGAGCAUGUAGUCGGCAUCAACACUACAACAUCAUAAAAGCGCAAGUUAAUAUAACCCACGCUAUCGCAUAAAGUAAACUAAUAUAUCAGGUAAAGUCAAAAGAAAACAAUACUACUAAAGCAUAAAGUAAACUAAUAUAUCAUAAAUCUCAAGAUACAAAAAUAGGGUGGUCUCUAUAACGAGGUACAAAACUCUCACAACCUCUCCAAAGAAAACAGAAGAGAGAUGGACCACCUAUCGCCAAAUCCCUCGAUAGCUAGCUCGAGGCAAAACCUUUCCCGCGAUCCCGAGCCUCUCCCGAAGUGGAAGGCUCUGAAAGAAAACAUAAAACAGGGAGCGUGAGAACUAUAAAUUAUAGUUCCCAGUGGACAAUUACUGACCUGCACCAACUGCACCACUAGGCCCAAAAGAGAGCAGAUAAGGUUAAUAGAAAUUAACUGCGGUAAAUAAAGCAUAAAGAUAAAAUGCUACACUAUUAUGCCACAAGUAUGUAAAAUGUCAACAUGGAGUACAUCUACUCUACAUGAUCCAGUAUGCCGAUACUUAAACAAGUAUGCUAUGAUGCAACAAAUAAUACUAUGAAGUAUAAUAAAUGCCCCAAAGCCAACUACAUAUCGAGUAUGUACUAUCAUGGCAACCAAGUAUACUACAAUGCAACGAGCGAUACCGUCAAAUAUACUAUAUAUCUCAAUGCCCAACCCUAUGCCAUAGCAUGUCAAGAAAUCCAACUACUAUAACCUGUCUAGUAGUGAUUAUGAACUUGUUGUUUAAUAUUCGGAUUCAAUCUCAUUUAGGACCUACACAGUUGUGGUCUGGCUUGUGCUGCCUAAGUGCCAGUGAUAGCUCCAGCAUUCCCACUCUAGGAAUGAGUCUAACCCUCCAGGCCCCGUAGGCUACUCGAUACCGCACAAGCAAACAUAAGUUGCGUAGGCUAACUCCGGAGUGCCGGCUUGUAGGGAGCGACCGGUACAAGCAUGUGUGAAUGAGCACAAAUGUCAAACAAGCAUGGUCAUCGUCUCAAGUACCCAAUCAUCAUGUCUCUAACAUGGUAACAGUCACUAGCAACCCAAAGGUCUAGUACUAUGUCUCAAUGUGAAGGUUUAACCAUUCAAUAGUUUUCAGGUCAAUGAGCUUAGCUUUACUAAGUCCAAAUCGCAAGAUGAUGUUCCAACAUUCACUAUGUUUGGUGCCUCUUUAUGACACUUAAACAUUUUUAUAAUCCAAGCACAUUACACAUUCUAUAUCUCUUUAUGACAUUAGCUUGUACUAUCAAUAAUAGGUUAAUACACAUGCUCUCUAGCGUGUUCUCAGAUCACUACAUGCAGGUUCUUCCCAAUGCAACUAUCAACUUUGCAUAAUUCUCAUAAUAAUAUUAUGCACAUACCAUUCACAUAUCCAUCAAGUCUAAUGCCGCUUUAUGACAUUAGCUUGCUAAGUCCAUUUCUAGUCCAAGCCUAAUGCCACUUUAUGACAUUAGCUUACUAUUUGUAUACACUCCAGUCUAUGUCACUUCAAUGAUAAUAUGUCUAACCAUGUCAAGCAUGCGUUCUAAGUCCAAGAGUGUAAUCUAUAUGCCAUAUGCACCAUAUGCAACAUGAUCUCAAACCAAUAUUAGAAUGCUAAUCAUAUGCAAAGUUUCAAGUUUGAACAGUUCUCUACUAUAUAGAGGGCCACUAUACUUUAUACAUAGUAUGCACAUAUUAAGCAUUCUAAAAUUCUCAAAUAUUCCAUCUAGUAAGAAUAUGCAUGCUUUUUCAUUUUAUAACACUUAAAUCAUCAACAAUGAGAUUUUCUCAUUGUGUGGCUAGGUCAAACCCACCGAACCAUCGCGUAGUCCUUCCUUUCGCCGAACGGAGUUGUCCACGAGUCUCAAAAUACCCUAAAGGUAAUGAGCGAAGGGAUACACAAGUAUUACGAACAACUAUAAGAUCAAACAUUAACCAUCAAGGCAAAAGGGCUAAAAUCUCACCUAUGGAGUAGAAAAUCUUUCCCAAGCUCCAAAAAAGAGCUAAAUCCCUUUCAAUCCAACCCAAAGGAAGAUUCUAAUCCAAUCAAUUGAGCUCCAAAAGCCCUAGAUCAAAAAUCCCAAAACAAAUCCUAAAUCCUCAUUUCUAGGGUUUCUGUACAAAAAUCAUGAAAAUCAUGAAAUAAAGGAAAAUAGUAAGCAACUAACCUCUAAUGAAGCCUCAAACAAGGUUCAAAAUCCACAAGGGUCGAAGAUCUCACCUCCAAUGAGCUCAACUCCAAGCUCCCAAGCUUCUCCCAUGGUGGAAAAGUCACCAAAAGGCAAAAAUAGAGCAAAAGUAAAUAAAAAAAAAACUUUUGAAGUUGAAGGAUCAAUUUUAAUAUGACUUAUAGAUGAUGAGUUACUAUAUAUUUUUAUCCUAAUGAAACUCUAGCUGCCUCUCUUACUCAUUACUUUUUUUCUAAUUUUUUUACUCUUUGUUUUUUACUCUUUUUAUUUUCAUUUUAUUUCCGCCAACAAUAUUUCAUUGUCAACAAUAUAGUUUGUCUAUUGACUAUUUAAUAAAAUUUAUAAAAAAUAUAUAUUUAUACGGAUAUCCGUACCCGAUGUAGACCCGAUCCAUAUCCGGUCUUGAACGGGUAGUAUACGGGUCGUCACUAUUCAGACCCGCUCAAAUAGAUCCAAUGGGUAUAUUAGUAACUUUAGUACCCGACCCGGACCCGGCCCGAAGUUAAAUGGGUAGGGUAUAUAUAUUUUUUUGUAACCAUUUCUUUUUAGUGUAUGGAUAUAGUAUAUUAAUUAUCCAAACCCGACCCGGUUCACGGAUAUCUUUAUGUCCAAGCUUGGCGGGGUUAUGGAGCGACAGGUGUUGCGGACACGCGUCCGCCUGACCGCCCCGGUUGCCGGUCCACUUCCACCCCCCGGGGCCCCGAAGAACACAACAUAGUUAGUUAAUUCGCGAAUUAUUCGCGAAUAAUUCGCGAAUUUUUGAAAAAGCCGAAUAAAACAGCCGUUUUCAUGUUUUUUUCAAAAAUUCGGGAAAAUUCGUGUUUUUUUUUGGCUAAAAAUAAUUAUUCACGAAUUAAACGCGAUUUGCGAAUAAUUCGGCCCAACAGCCCGGUUGCAGGUUGCUGUGAGCCUGCGACGCAGAGUAGCGGAGUCGGACUCGGGCCUCGCGGGUGGCCCAAAAGAGGAAAAAAAAUCAUUUCUGUGUCUGUCGCCCAAAAGGCCAAAAAAGAAACAAAAAAAAAUCCUCUCUUUCAGACUGGCCCCCCACCCGCCCCCCCCAACCCACGAGUCCCACUCCUAUCCAUAGUUAGUUAAUUUGCGAAUUAUUCGCAAAUUAUUCGAGAAUUUUUAAAAUUCCGAAUAAAACGUCCGUUUUCAAAUUUUUGAAAAAAUUUUGAAAAAAAUUACGUUUUAUUGGAUAAAAGUAAUUAUUCGCGAAUUAAACGCGAUUCGCGAAUAAUUCCGCUCAAAAAAAACGCCGCCGUUGCUGCGGUCGCGGGCCUCGCGCAUGGCCCAAAACAGAAAAGAGUUCGCAACUCAAAAAAAAAACCCUUCUCUGAAAUCGCCCCCUCCCAGUCUCCCAGACUCCCAGCCCCAGCCCCAUCCCUCCCAAAAAAGGGUUUGCCCUAACUUCUCACCCCUGCGGCGGUGCGGCCCUGCCACCGACCCGUGCGGCGGUCGCGGUCCCUUCCCCUCCCCCUCUUCCCUUCCGGCUGCUCGCCGAACGCAAUCGGAAGCCCCCCUCUUCAGAAAUCGAAGAUCGAGUUCUUCACUCUUCAGAAAUCGAAACCCUCCCCGUCGCCUCUUCCUCUUCCGCUUCCGCUAUCCAACGAUAUAUAGAUCAGUAAUAAGGUGGUUCUUUACAAACCAAGUACGAUUUGAGUUUUCAUUCUUUAAAGCAAAAGUUGGAAGCUUUUAGUCCAUCUGAUGGAUACUUUUUUAUACACAAAUGGCUCGAGUGCUUAAAUUGAAUGUGUCCAUUCUCUGUUCAUCGCACCUAAUUGUUAAGAACUAAAGACCCAAACAUAGAGCUAAAUAAUGUAUUAACCUAGGGACACGGAACUCUUGUAUUAUACCUAAUCAAUUUCAUGAUCUUGUCGACACUUGCAAAAGAAAAUUUGUUGUGUGGUCUUUCAUGGAAAAUUUUGUUGUGGUUAAAUCAGAGUCGGAGUUCGCUGAUUAUAAUUACUAAAACUUUCUGUGUUUGUAUGCUCUAUAUUUUAUUCAAGCUUUUAUGUAUGUUUAUAUGUGGAAUUAUGAACUUUAUGUAUUUUUAUUUGUUUACUGUUUAGACUUUAGAAUUUAGAUAUGCUAGUAUGCUGUUAUGCACUAUGCAAAGUGCCUGUUUCUCUUGGAUUUAAUUUCUAACUAUGCUUGUAUGUGAAUCUUUUUAUAUUUACAUUUAAAUAUGGACUAUCUUGAUCUCUUAUUUGCUUAAUUAUUUUUUUUUUUUUAGGCAUAAUAUAGUUUGUUAUUUUUUUUAGUUAAUUAGUUUAAUUUUGUAGUUCUUUAUUUUUAUAUUCUUAAAAAAUAUGAGUAUUUAUGCUAAUAAUAUAAAUCUUGAGAGAAAAAAACUUAAUUUAAUAGCCGAAUUUUUAAUCCCGAAUUUUUAAUUGGUGAACGUAUAAUAUCUGUAUAAAUCACGUAUCCGAAUAAUUACUGAAUCUGUUUUUUAACCGUAUUUUUCAACGAAUUUAAAAAUUCGAAGACGAAUUUUAUCCGAAUUAUACCCGUACCGAAUUUUUGCCGAAUCCGAAUUAACUAACUAUGCUCCUACCCCGACCCCUCCCAGUCCCAAAAAAGGGUUGCCCUAACCCUCCUCGUCGCCUCUUCCUCUUCCUCCGCUUCCAACGAUAGAUCAGUAAUCGAUCGGGUGGUUCUUUACAAACCAGGUGCGAUUUGAGUUUCCAUUCUAAAAAACAAAAGUUGGAAGCUUUUAGUCCAUCUGAUGGAUACUUUUUUUAUACACAAAUGGCUCGAGUGCUUAAAUUGAAUGUGUGUCCAUUCUCUGUUAUGCCCAAACAUAGAAGACCCAAACAUGGAGCUAGAUAUAAUCUUAAUUAACUUAGGGACCAGGUGUCCAUUCUCUGUUAUUCUCUGUUAUGUGGAAUAGUGAACUUUAUGUAUCUUUUAUUUAUUUAUUGUUUAGACUUUAGAAUUUAGAUAGGCUAGUAUGCAGUUAUGCACUAUGUAAAGUGCUAGUUUCAUCUUGUAUUUACUUUCUAACUAUGCUUGUAUGUGAACGUUUUAUAUUUUACAUUUAAGUAUGGUCUAUCUUGAUCUCUUAUUUGCUUAAUUAUUUCUUUAUUUUGAGGCAUUAUAUAUGUUACGUUUUUUUUUUUACUUAAUUAGUUUAAUUUUGUAGCUCUUUAUUCGUAUAUUCUUAAAAAAUAUAAGUAUUUAUGCUAAUAGUAUAAAUCUUGAGAGCNAAGACCCAAACAUAGAGCUAACUAAUCUUAAUUAACUUAGGGACCAGGUGUCCAUUCUCUGUUAUGCACAAAGAAGACCCAAACAUAGAGCUAAUUAACUUAGGGACCAGGUGUCCAUUCUCUGUUAUUCUCUGUUAUGUGGAAUAGUGAACUUUAUGUAUCUUUUAUUUAUUUAUUGUUUAGACUUUAGAAUUUAGAUAGGCUAGUAUGCAGUUAUGCACUAUGUAAAGUGCCAGUUUCAUCUUGUAUUUACUUUCUAACUAUGCUUGUAUGUGAACCUUUUAUAUUUUACAUUUAAGUAUGGUCUAUCUUGAUCUCUUAUUUGCUUAAUUAUUUCUUUAUUUUGAGGCAUUAUAUAGUUUACGUUUUUUUUUUUACUUAAUUAGUUUAAUUUUGUAGCUCUUUAUUCGUAUAUUCUUAAAAAAUAUAAGUAUUUAUGCUAAUAGUAUAAAUCUUGAGAGGAAAAAAACUUAAUUUAAUAGCCGAAUUUUUAAUUGGUGAACGUAUAAUAUCCGUAUAAAUCACGUAUCCGAAUAAUUGGCGAAUCCGGUUUUUUAGCCAUUUUUUUCAACGAAUUUAAAAAUUAGAAGACAAAUUUUAUCCGAAUUAUAUCCGUACCGAAUUUUUGCCGAAUCCGAAUUAACUAACUAUGGAACACAAACGCAAAGUAGAGAAAAGAAAAAGGAAAAGAGAAAGAAAUAAGAAAAUGCCUCCUUUUACCUCCUCCUGGCGCCUCCGCACUCCGAUCUCAACCCUUUCCCACCGCUUCCGCGCCGCGCUGCCCAGACUCCUCUCCUCCGGGGCCCAGCAGCCCUCGUCGUCGUCGGCGGCGGUGGGCCCCCUGUCCUGCCGCCUGGGUUCCCGCUCUGUAGUCCGAUUUCGCGGGCCCGACGCCGCCAAGUUCCUGCAGGGCCUCCUCACCAAUGACGUCCGCCCUCUCGCUGUUCCGCCCGCCGCCGCAGUUGGAAGCGACGAGUCUUCCACCCACUUUCCCACGCCCAAUGUCUCUCUCUACCACUCUCCCCCUAUCUACGCCGCCCUGCUCACGCCGCAUGGCAGGUUCCUCUACGACCUCUUCCUCUAUCGCCCGCCUCCCGCCGAUCACAAGCUCGACCGGACCGGCUCUGGGCCUGGAAAGGGCGAUCCCCACGACCCGCUCACUUUGCUCGCCGACGUCGAUGCGGUCGUCCUGGACGAGCUCUUGGAUUGCUUCAACAAGUAAGGCGCCUAAAUCCUAGUUAGAAUUAUUUUCUUUUCUGGUUCCAUAGCUUCGACUUCUUUAUUCCCGCGCUGAGUUUUCCUAUUUUAUUUUCUGGUGCUAAUCCUAAGCGACACAUUAGCUUUUAUGUAAAUUGGAAACUGCAAAUUAGUAAUAAACAAGGUCGAUAGGACUUGGAUAGUUUUAAAUCCGAGGCCUGAGUCAGUGAAAUACAAAAGGCAGCGCUACAAGUGAGGGGAAAUGAUGUCCAGAAAUUCACAAAGACGGAUUAGUAUUGAUGGCUAUAUGAGUCAAAACUUGUUCUCUUGUGUCCUGUAAUAUUGAGAGAGUACCACAUCCCAGUAUCUGAUAAUAUGGAAAAAGCGGACGAGUAUAUUUCUGAAAUCUUAAUAUCUACUAUAUUUUUGACAAUCUAGAGAGAUCCUACUGUUCAACCCAUUUUAUGCGCAGUUGGUAGCAUUUGGUAGAAAUUUGCAUCUCAUUUGAGUAGCAGAACUUGACAUAUGACACUUCCUGAUUUGACCAUACAAUAUUUCAUUGCUCUAAGUUAAUGCUGAUUUUAUUCCCAUACAUGUUUUGCAGAUAUAGGCUCCGGUCCAAGGUUGACAUAGAGAACGUGAGCAAGGAAUUUGCUUGUUGGCAGAGAUUUGGUGGUAACCUAUCUAACGCUGCACCAUCAACUCAAGAACCUGAAGCUGCAUCUGUUGGUUGGGGAACAGGCAUCGAUCAUGCUGCUGAAUCAUCCGCACAGGGAAAUAGUAUUGGUUGGAAAUGGUGCAAAGAUCCUAGGUUGGAUUGCUUGGGAUAUAGGGGAAUCUUCCCAUCUAACACAAUUCGUAAGAGACUGCACUCAUAAGGUCUUUUAACGUUUAUGCAUCUCCACCUAUUAAAUUAUACCCCUGUAAAAUAUGAAUUUCAUAUAUGACACCAAAAUUGCUAUUUCUUAUGAAGGCUUUCUUUUCUGCCGAGAAGGUCGGGGGGUAAGCUUAAGUUUACUUUCUAAAGCUGGAUACUUCUGCAAGUACAAAUUAUAUAUGUUAGGAAGUAUGUUUUUGAGGAGCAUACAUUGAAUUUCAGAUUUUAUAAGGGCAUAUAUAUAAAAACAGAAUCUCGUGUUCGUUUUAUUCAUAGUAGGACUUGUUGGCACCUAGGAUUGGAUCAGAUUGGCUAAGUUAAGAGUAUUUCAUUGGGUAGAUUCGGCAACUUGGGGGGUGCCAAGAGUAGCGAGAGGAAUCUGGUUGAGUUAAAUACCCAGUGGAGUGGAAUGGGAUUACUGGAUCCCACCAAGCGGCUAGGAGUGAAAAGGGCUGCAUUUGGAAAUUCAUUUCUAUCCCAUGGGCGGCGCCUCCAAUUGUUGUGACCUCCAGUGCCUUUUUGAGUUUUGAGUUGCUAAAUGCUCCCUCUCCCUUCAACGUUGCACUUUCAGCUUUGCCUAUCCAAUCAAUCUAGGUGCCGGCCGGGGCCACCAGUUGCACUGGCGUUCAACAAUGGAUGCUUCAAUUUGGUAUAUGAACUAGAAAUCUAGAAGUUCAUUAUAUAUUUAUAUCUGUUGCUUUCUUUCUUCUACAGCACCAUUAGUUGAAUCCGACAAAGAAGCAGAUGAAAGACAUUACCUUCUAUGGCGAUUACAGCAAGGAGUUGCUGAAGGUUCGACUGAGAUACCAAAAGGUGUGGUUAAUCAAAUUUCAGAAUGAUUUUAUUGUGCCUUCUUCUAGGUGACUAUAUACCUACAAAUUAUAUAUAAUGAUAGAACAGAACCCAGAAAAUCAAGAUUCUAAUGCUGCGUAUAGUUUUCUGUUGGAAUUCUAUGACAAAGUUUUCAUUGAGAUUUCAUUACUCUUCCAAAUUGUUGUGUUCACAUGUUCAAUCUAGGUAUGCAUUUUUGUUUAGGUUUUAUGUAUAAGUGGAAACUUGAUUAUGACAAUAUGAAUUAAGUGUACUUGACAUUACAAAAUAAUCAAAUACAAGGUUGAACUCGGUUCAACUCAAUUUGUUGAUUUUGUUGGUAAGUACUGAAUAGCCGAUACAGAAGUAACUAGUUGUUUGUUCAUACUAUUUAGGAGAAUGGUAUUACUAGACUAGUUUAGAUUUAAGCAUUUCCAGCUACAUUAAUUAAGAAUAGUAGAGAUGUUACCUAGUGGUUGGUUUUUAGUUUUUUAUUGUUUAUGAGAAAAGGCAAUGACUAGAAAAUUGUGUUUGGUCCCAUUAUCUGUUUAAAUAUUUAUUCCAAAAUACCGGAAAACUUGGUACUCACAUAAAUAUAUUUUAGAUUAGUGGAGUAUGGUUUGAGUUGCUUUUUGGGGCCAGACUCGAUUUGAAAUAAAGCAGCUAUGCUAGUCUUUCAAGGUAUAAAAUGUUCUACUAAUAAACCCUAUACAUGUUUCAUUUUGGUGGGAACUUGUUUGAUUUGGUUAGGAGCGGGUUCUCUUAUAGAAAAUUGAGAUAGAUUGAGAUUAGUCAGAUUUCACCUACAUAACCAAGACUGAGACGGUCAUUAGAAAAAGUGUCCUGAGCCAAAACAAAUGAUUCACUUUCAUUUCCUGACUCAUCGGUUAUAUCCCUACAUUUGCUGUAAUGUUUGUGUGCUCGUGAUUAAGUGUGCAUUCUUUCACAUGUAUGAAUAUUUGUCUACUUGUGCUAGUGCGUGUACAUGCAUAUGUGCUGUCCACAUGUAUCUCUGUGUUGUUCACAACCAUGUGCUUGUGUGCACAUUUGGCCUAGGCAUUGGUUUAUAUCGAUCUACUCUCGAGGAUUCGAAUGCUGUCUCGGAGUGUAAGGAUGGAGUGAAGUACUGAAGUCAAUAAAGAAGUUGUAGAUUCGUAAGAUCAUGAUAGUCUCUCCGCGUGCUAUAGUGCUACAAAAGAUUUAAGUGCAUGGUGUGCAUGUGUAUGCGGGAGGCAUGUUAUAGUUUUUUCUCAACAUGCACCACUUGUGGACUUGUCUGUUUUUGUUGGCAGUUGCAUGAUUUUUUUUGUUUGGUUCUUUCGAAAUUUGAACUUUUUGGCUUCUGCGAGAGUCAAUAGUAAUGGAGUUGACAUUGAUGUAUACUAGGACUAGGAGCUUAUUCAAUCUAGCUUCUGUUAAUACGAGUUAGCCAUUCUCAUCUCUUUUGGUCUUUUUUCAAUGCCUUGCUCUUAUUUCUUGUGAAACAAUAACUUUUGGUUGAAAUAUAUAAGUUGUUUUGCCCAGUCAUUAACUUACGUUAGGCGGAUAUGAUGCAUUUGCAAGAUUAACAGUGUAGAAUAAUUCAAAUCCAGUGAAAUUUGAUAGAAAUUUUUUUUCACUAAAAAUUAGAGUAAAUUUAGUAUCUCUAAUAUGAAAUUUAAGUCUUUUCUCAUUAUUUUUUAUGAUAUUUUUAUUUUCAGUCGUUAAUUUUGUCUCUAAUAUGAAAUUUAAGUCUUUUCUCAUUAUUUUUUAUGAUAUUUUUAUUUUCAGUCGUUAAUUUUGAGACUUUGUUUUAAAUGUAAAUGAGGUUGAAAAAUCAUAAAAAUUUAUUUUAGAUACUUCAAAACUCUAGAUUAAGUCUAACAGAGUCAAUCGUUGAUUCGAGUGUCCUAUCAUCGAAAACAAUUUGGUACACUAGAUCUUCAAUUUUUACGAGAGUACAAUUUUGACCGUUACACAUUUGAUGGACUUCAUUAUAAAUUUAGAAAAUUGCAACAUUUGGUUUUUAGAUACUAUAGAUACUCUAGAUCAUGUGCAAUAGUAUGUGUCGUUGAUUCGGAAGCUCCAUCAUUGGACUUAUGAAUAUGAAGGUCUCUGUAUUGCACACAGUCAUACACACAUAUAUACACACGCACGUGCAUAUAUACACACAUAUAUACAUAUACGUAUAUACACACACAUGUACAUAUUUAAAUAGACGCACACUCCCAUGCACAUGCGGAUGCAUACACACACACACACACACAAUAGGGCUACUAUACUCUUAUGAGUAUAGAAUCGUUCAUUCUUUUGCAGUCACAUGCAAAUGUUCAAGGGUCACGGUUCAACAACCUCACUAUUUUUUUAAAAUUGACUAAAUCUAUCUAUGCUAUCAACCAUCCUAAGUGUCAUGACAGUAUUGUUUAAGUAGUAGCCCAAUUACCUUUUGUUUACAACCUAUGUUAGAUGCACUAUGUUCAAUACUUACAUACGCAUGUCAAAUUCUCUAAGUUAUCUCUAUAGAAUGUUAUUUGUCUCAUAGUUCAAUAACGUCGGUGAAUAGGUUAUGUCCAAACAUAUUGACAACAUAUGAGAUUCUCUCGCACCUUGGUAGCUAAUUCACCUCAAGAAAGGUGUGUUUCACACAAGAAUGCUCGUGUAUGCACAUUUACUAGAAAAAUUACCAUUUAUACUUAUCCGUUCAACAUGAUAUUAGUCCUCAGAUAUGGAAAGUGACCAAUCCACUUUGGUACCCAUCUCGUUUCGUCAUUAAUUGAUAAGAAAAUCAAGAACUAGGAAAUUGUGGACGAAUCGCCCUGCUUCCAAGCCAAUCCGCCAAAAACCUUCAAAAUCGGCCUGAAUUGUCCAAUCGGACGUUGUAACCUUGUUGUAAUUCAAAUCUUUGUUGUCUUCCAAGUCAAUCUUCUCUCUAAUUAGAGUUUUCAAGUGUUAGAUGGAUUUUAAACUCAAGGUGCAAAAACAGCAAUUUUGAUCCAGGUUUCUAAUUUGUCUCAACAAAAUCCUUCAUUCAUAGCAAAUCUCUAAAUAUUAUAAUAUAGAUUCACCUAGAUUCUUCUGCUGAGCCACUGUGCAUGUGUCCAUGCAAAAGUCAAAUCAUUUAUCAAAUUUCCUUCGGGCUGCAAAUACUGACUUCGGGCGUCCGGUUCUAGGAUUUGAAUCAACAUUAGUGCCUGUAUGCCACUUUAGGGCACCAUAAUCCCUUUCCCGGCGUCCGAAAGACCUUAAAACUUUAGUUUCAAUAGUGAGUCCGUUUUUGUGCUGUUUUCAAAUUAUUUUUGAUGAUGGAACUUUCCAAUCGAUGGUCAGCACCAUUUGAUUUGAUUCAAUUAUUAAUUUUUUGGCAUUAUUUAUAUCAUGAUCAAAAGAUCAUGAAAUUGACCAUUUUUAACGGCUGGUAUGGAAUGCUUGCUAGUUUAACGGCGUAAAAGAAAUGGAAUCGGUUGAAUUUUUAAUAGAAAAUGUUAUUCACUAUCUAGAUAAAGACUAAUAACUUCGAUCUUAAAUUGCAAAAUAGUACAUUAAUAAUUUUUGGCAAAUAAAAAAAGGUAGUUGGACGAGUUACUUAUUGUGCCACAUCCUUGUAUUAGUCCUCUGCCCAGAUUAUAGAUGGACCUGUAAGAUGUGAGUGAGAACUAUAAUCAUAGUUUCCAGUAGGUAUGCCCAUCUAAAGGGCAGGCUCGAUCCACCAAAUCUAAAGAAGGCAUAAUAUAAAAGGAGUGAGUAUAUAACUAAUAAAAAGUACUUUACAUAUAUAUGACCACUAUAUGCGAAAAGAAAGUGACGACUAUUAUGCCAUAAAUUGAAAGAUCAAGAUCCUUACUUUGUUUUCGACAUCUCUCACUAUAGAGGGUAUGCAGUUCACCUACCGAGAGAGCUCCCUCUUGUACUGGUAUAUAGGGGUGAACCGGAAUACUUAUGAUAAGUAUUAGCCUUUCUUGUAACUCUUUCACCUUUGGAUCAACACCUUUGACCACUAGUCUUGGAUUAAUACGAUUCCACCAAUCACUACUAAACUCGUGCUGGGCCACCAUCAUCCCAACCCCGUAAUUUUUUAUCCAAGGGCUACAAACCUAAAAAGUAAAAAAUCCCAAAUACUUCUAAAAGUCCACAAUCUUUUAUCCAAGGGAUACAAAGCUAAAGUAAAAAAGCCCAAAUACUUCGAAACGUAUUUCUAGCUCAAUUAUAUAUAUAUAUAUAUAUAUAUAUAUAUAUAUAUAUAUAUAGAAUUAGGCUACUAUACUAUCUAUAGUACCGAGCUUCGGUACUAUAGUGUUUGUUUUCGAUCUUAGGGCGUUCAAAUCAACGAUCCACACCGUUAAAUAUGAUCUAGGGUAUAUGAAUUUCUUAGGAAUAAAAUUUUAGUUUUUUUCGAUAUCGUUUACUUANAAGGGAGCCGAUCGUCGAUUUGGAAGCCGCAUCAUUGAAAACAACUUGGUAGCACGGAGGCCUCCGUGCUACCGAUAGUAUACUAGCCUAGCUCUAUAUGUAUAUAUAUAUUUAUAUAGAAUUAGGCUACUAUACUAUCUAUAGUACCGAGCUUCGGUACUAUAGUGUUUGUUUUCGAUCUUAGGGCGUUCAAAUCAACGAUCCACACCGUUAAAUAUGAUCUAGGGUAUAAGAAUGUCUUAGGAAUAAAAUUUUAGUUUUUUUCGAUAUCGUUUACUUAGUAAAUAAAUUAUAUCAAAAUGGACGGUGAAAAUUGAAUAAUCUUUAAAAUUUGAGUAUAUGACUUUUAAAUUCAAGAUCAAGAAUGUUAACCUUAAUCUAUAUAGUUUAAAGUAUUUUCUAUCAAAAUUUGAAUAAAUUUAGAUUCUUCUACACCGUUAAACUCCAAACUUGUCAUAAUAGCCAUUGAAAAUUGACAAUUUUGAAAUAGUUUGAUCAUAAAGUAAACUAUGUCGAAAAAAUAUAAAAUUUUAUUUCUAGAAACUUUAAAUACUCUAGAUCAGUUUUAACGGUGUGGAUCGUUGAUUUGAACGCCCUAAGAUCGAAAACCAACAUUAUAGUACCGGAGCUCGGUACUAUAGAUAGUAUAGUAGCCUAGCUCUAUAUAUAUAUAUAUAUAUAUAUAUAUAUAUAUAUAGAGUUGAGCUAGAAUUCUAUCCAUAGCAAACGAGCUCCGUUGCCACCCAUUUGUUUUCGAUGAUGGAGCUUCCAAAUCGAUGAUCAACACCGUUGAUCAUGAUCUAUACUACUUGAAGUGUUUAGAAAUCAAAUUUCAUACAUUUUCGAUAUUGUUCUCUUAUCCAUCAAGUGGACACAAAAAUGAACGGCUGAAAAUGAAUAUUCUUUAAAAAAUGAUGAUAGGAGUCUUGUAAUCAAGAUCAAGAGUAUAGAUCUUGUUUUAAAGAGUUUAAAGAAUUUUCUAACAAAAAUUCAAUUGAUUUCGAUAUCUUUACGCCGUUAAACGAGAAAACGCUUCAUAUCAACCAUUAAAAUUACAAAUUUUGAAAUCCUUUGAUCAUUAAGCAAAUGAUGUCGAAAAGAUUUGAAAUUUGAUUUCUAAACACUUCAAGCGAUAUAGAUCAUGUUCAACGGUUCCGAUCGUCAAUUUGGAGGCUCCAUCAUCGAAAACAAGUGGGUGGCAACGGAGCCUGUUUGCUAUCAAUAGUAUUCUAGCUCAACUCUCUACAUAUAUAUAUAUAUGUAUGUAUAUGUAUAUGUAUGUAUAUGUAUGUAUAUGUAUAUAUGUUUGUAUAUGUAUGUAUGUAUGUAUGUACAUAAAUAUGUAUGUAUAUACAUAUAUGUAUGUAUGUAUAUACAUAAAUAUGUAUGUAUAUACAUAUAUAUAUACAUGUAUAUACAUAUAUGUAUGUAUAUACAUGUAUAUACAUAUAUGUAUGUAUAUACAUGUAUAUACAUAUAUAUAUAUAUAUAUAGAGCUAGGCUCCUAUGCUUUCGAAAGUACGGAGGCCUCCAUGCUUGUAAGUUGUUUUCGAUGAUGGGGCAUUCGAUUCGGCGAUCAGUUUCGUUAGACAUGAUCUACGCUAUUAGAACUACCUAGAAACCGGAUGUAUUGGUCUUAUUCUUGAUAGUUAAGUAGAAUUUUCUAUUAAAUUUUCAUUUCAUUUGGAUUGUUUUACACCGUUGAACUUACAAACGUGCCACAUCGGCCGUUAAAAUUGUCAUUUUUGAGAUCUUUUGAUCGCUUGUUAAAUGAUGUCAAAAAAUACUUUCAAUAGUGUAGAUCAAGUCUAACGGAGCCGAUCGUCGAUUUGAAAGCCGCAUCAUCGAAAACAACUUGGUAGCACGGAACGCUCCGUGCUACCGAUAGCAUAGUAGCCGGAUUCUAUAUAUAUAUAUAUAUGUAUAUAUAUGUAUAUAUAUAUAUGAACUUUAAAUACUUGCAACUAUGUCUUUGGAAUAGUCAAAAGAUGCUAUAUCCGCAAGAGCCAUCUUUAGAAUCUCAUAUUGCAUGGUAAUUUUCGUUUAUAUGUGUGAUUGGGUUUAAAUUUCACGACAAUGUUAGGGUCUCACAGAUGGUGUUUGUAGCGCCCCAAUAGUCCUACAUCGGAUAAAAAAGGGAUUAUGACUGGGUAUAUAAGGAUUAGAGACCUAAGUAAUGAUAAUUGGGCUCUAGCAUUUUGUGCCCAACGAGUUAUUAGUGCUAGCGGGUCGGAUCAUUACUUUUAGUAUCAGAGGCAAUCAUCAGCCGGAGUUGAUCCAGGGUUGUACAGGAGGUAGGGAGAUGAGUCUCACGUUGCUUGGUGCUUGUGAGCGUGCCUGAGCCUGACAAGGACGUCAGGCUUAAACGGAAGGCAUCGGGGCUUAAAGGUAGUAGGAGGAAUGCGACACCCCAGAAUUUGGAAUAGUCUUAUAUAAAGGGUAUAAUAGGACUAAAUCUCUUGAUCCGGCAUUGGGUGGUGGCUAGGCCCAAGAUGUUAAAUAAGUCAUUGCAGGAUUAGCUAUUUGUUUUGUUAGUAUCCACAUCUCUUGUAUUGUACAAGAAGUUCACAAUUAUUUGAUGGUAAUUAUAUAAACUGCUAUACUAAAAUAUGUAUAUAAGGCACUUGUUUUUCGCAAGAGCAUUAAUUAAGUUUUUUCAUGGUGAUAUCUUAAGCUAGAGAUAAAAAGAGGACAAAUGUACGGUUUUCUUUCUCACAAAAAACAUUAGUAAAGUCUUAGGACCUUUAAAACAUGGAUGUAUUCCAAACGACUGAUGUUAUAACCUCAUUCAAUGUAGGACGAGCAUGUGUAUAUGCUAUGCUCAGAUUAAACUGAAGAAAAACUUGACGCAGAGGAGACAUGGGUCGUCUACUCGACGUGGAUGCAGAUCAUUGUGCGAAUUCUCUGCAGAAAAAGAAAAGUUUUUUAGUACUCUUGUUAGAUUACUGAGGAUCAUUAAGAGGAUUUCGCAGAUCCUUUGCUAUAUUUCAACUGUUUACUUUUACCUGUUAAAAGAUUUUAUUUUAUUUUAUUUUAUUUUAUUUCUCAAAAGGAUGAUAAGAGAAUUUUAGAUAAAUUCUAUAGAACUCUCUUUCUCUUCUUCUCUCUUAUAGAACUACCUCUCUUUUUCUUCCACCCCCCCACCCCCUCGACUCAUAAUCAAGAAGUAGGCUUUGAAAUUUUUAUUACUUUUUAGUCAACCUCUCAUUUUAUUUUAAUGGAUAGUUAAUAUAAAUUAAUAUAUUAAAAUAUUAGUCUUAUCUGUUAUGACCCUGUCGUGCUUGUGUUUUAUUUUUCGAAGUUCUCAAGUUGUUGUGUCCGAGUCAUGUCGUUUCUCAUGUUCCGUGUCGUGUCCGUGCCUGUGCAUUCUUGGUUAGGAUCUCCACAGACUGGUAAAGAAAUAGAUGACGACGAGUGGGCUACUAGAUUAAUACAUUAGAGACGAGCGAGAAGAAAGAAGUGAAAAGAGAGGAGAAAGUUACUUCGGAACUUGGUUUGGCAAUCAGGAGUUCUCUUCACACUUUCAUUAAAUACAUUGCCUUUGGUUGGCCUGUUUCAAAAUUCUUGUGCUGUAGUUCUAAAGCAUCUUGGAUUCUUAUUAAUAGAGGGAAAUCCAAUUUGAUAAAAUUAUAUUUGAUGCGCUUGUCAGAUCAUUAAUUAACAGUAUAAUUGGCUUCUUUGCACCAAUAAUCUUUUGGUCCUUACACCUCUUUUAGUAUUACAUGUCUGUAUUACAUGUCUGGUUUUAUGAACUUUGAUUAAAAUUAAAAGUUUUAAACUUCUCUUGACAGCCAAGCUAAGAAAUGGAUGAAGAGUAUUUAAAUUGUGUAAAUAUUCAGACCAUAGUUACUAGGAUUGCAGACUCUCCCCUUCAAACCGUGAUUUGGACUGCAUAUUUUGAUUUAGGGUGGAUUCUCAAUCCGGUUUGCAAAAAGUGGUGAAUCGAGAAUAGUAAAGAAGUACUUUGAUUUUCUAGAUCUAAUUUGUUAGGAUAUGUAAAGUGUUUUACAAGAUAUAGGUUAAUCAGGGUUGGAAACUUGGCUGCGACAUCAUUUAGGACUCAAGAGUGUGCUUGAUAGUCGGGAGUUGGGAUGAUCGUUACGCCACGGUUGAAUGGUGAGUAAUGGAUGAAUCAUUGUGGCGUAUGAAUUGAUGGUAGCAAGCAGGGUAGCAAGUCAAUGCACAAUGCUAGGGUGGAAUUGGUUGAACUUAUUGUAUCCAAGAUUCUGUAUGGAUAUAACUGAUUCUAAAUGCUACACAGGGUAAUCCAAGUUCCUUUGAAAGAGAGUCGAGUUACACUAAUGUCACGCCCGGGUACCAACGGAAGCAUAUCCGGUACGUGCACAGACCCGCCAUACACUUGCAGUAUAUAAGGCGUCUAUAAAGAAAACAUGUCGAUAGAAGGAAUACAUAGAAGAAUCCUAUCCUGAUAUCAGAGCAAAGUAUAAGUCAAUAAUAUCAUUCUCAGAAGAACAGUGAGUAUAUGAUCCAAAACAACUCAACAUCGUAGAGAAAUAUUACAAGUAUAAUCCCCGAUUCAAAGAUUUCAUAUACAUCACAGGGCUACUCAAAAUACAUGUACAAUGGUAGUCUCUCUAUACACGGGUACAUCACCCUCGACCGUGGCACGAGUAGCAAGGUGAUCAUCUAGUAAAAUAGCAAGCUAGGUCUAGCUAGAUGCGACUUCCUUGCCGCGAUCCCUAGCCUCUCCUGUAGGUGGCUCUGUAAAAACAACAAUAAAAAGGGCGUGAGAACUAUUAAACAAUAGUUCCCAGUGGGUAAGCCGCCAGCCUCGGUGAAUUACACCACUAGGCUCAUAAUAUACUAAAUAAAAGUAAAGCAGUAAUUGCAUGAUAAAUCUACAAUGCUAAUAGGUAAUGAGCAUGUAAUCAUAUUUUCUACAGUAAAUGAAUCAACUGAAUAUGAAAAGCAUAGCAAUUACUGUAAGCAUGAACAUAAACAUGAACAUAAGUAUGAACGUGUAAGUAAAUACUGUACACUAUAACUGAUAAUCAUUCAUUACUAUCCACUGUCAUUUGGAACUUUAAUUUCAUUCAAAAAGACCUACACAAGGUAGUAUAGCUUGCGCCGCGCCUAAUGGCCCCGUGGUAGUAUGCACUCCCCACGACAAUCCACUUCGGCACCCAAUCCCGCACGGGCGAGCAAUCUGUUGCGUAGGCCAACUCCGGAGUGCCGGCUUGUAGGGAGCUACCCUCACAAGCGUGUGCGAAUGAGCACAAUGGCAAGCAAGCAAAGUUCAUAGUCCAAUAUGUCUCGAACAUCAUGUCAUAGUAUGCUAUGUUCUUACUCUCGAUCUAUUGAUCGGAAUUCUCAAUAUAAAAAACAAUGACAAUAGCUAGUAUCCACUAGAUUAGUAAGCACAUGAAAGUAAUGCUAAUUUACAUAUGGCAUUAGAAACUUUCCACUAUCGAGGUACUAUCAAAAUAGUCACAAGAAAUGUCAUUGUUCUCUCCUCUAUAGGAGCAUAAUAGACUUGUCUAUUAGUUGCAACUGAACUAAUCAUAAACAUAAACAUAAAUACUUUUAUGCAUGAGUUCUCUCUACUUCAUAGAGGUUACAUUUCAAAUGUAUCAAACGUUGUGGCGAUGAUGUUCCAAGUCCUUUAUCAAUCACAUAAUCACAAAAGCGCACAAAUAAACCAAUUCUAUAGUAUUAUAUAGAACAUAAGGGAGCUUCACUUGCUCUGGUUAGGUCAAACCCACCUAUCACUAAGCUCAAUGCAACCCAAAUGAAUCCCGCAAUUCAGCUCACUGGUUCAUGAACCUGCUGAAAAUCAAGUAUUAAAAUCGCAUCAAAACUACAACCGAAUUGUCCAAAUUCGGCACAAAACUCACUUAGUACAAAGUAGUAGCUUGAGUUCCUGAUUUGGUUCACUUUAGUACCUCAAGAUUAACCUCUAAAGGCUCUCCAAUGCCCACCGAAGAUGAUCCAGAGGUCGGUUGCACUCUCGCUGCGAACAACACCAAAACGGCAUCAAAAUGCUUGUAUACAAGUUAAUAUAGCCGAAAUCUUGCGAAUUCAGUUUUCUAACUGAAAUUUCAGCUUACCCCUGGUUGAAACACCUUCUAAACCAGCCCCCAAGGUCACCAAUUUAACGCAAAGUGAAUUGGAAACCUGCUGCGAAGAAACAAUUCCAAACUGCAUUAAGUCGCUCGAUUAAACAGCGUAUAGUUUCGAAAUAGCUUCAUAAAUAACUAAUUACCUUUAUCAAGCUUCAAAGCAGCCUUUCCCUGGAUUAAAAUGGGUAAAUCACAGCUAGAUAACUCCUCUCUAGCUGCUGGAAUCCUCCUCCAACUCAGCUGGGAGCAACAAAACCGAAACGGCUCAAAAUCCGACACUAGUACACAAACUAGGGAGAAAUUGAGCUAAAUACCUUUCUACAGCUUUUUUUCAGCAACUCCCUAUAUUAGAUAUGAAGAACACUGCCAAAACACCUCACUUCACCCUUCAAAAGCUGGCCCCAAGUCCACCCAAACAGCAUGCGUCGAGCGGAGCGUGAAAUCGGCGCGAAACGGCGAUGUCUACUCGAAGAGAGAGAAACCCUAGAGAGAGAAAGUGGAGAAAGUGAAAGAACCUUUCUCUGAGCUCUAGCAACCUCCACCAAGCUCCAGGAGUCGUGUUGGGUCAAAUAGAUAGGGAUUAGAUGCGAAAUUACCAAAAUAGCCUUGCUGCCACGUAUCUGCCAUUGUGUACCGGUACAAGAUGAUGGCUGUACCGGUACACAAUGCAAAAUUUCACCAGUAAUGCACUUUCUUGCUUCCGGCCGUUCAAUCACUUCUCUAACUUAUCCAAAAACUUGUCUAAGCCUUUUAGAAGAUGUAGGAUAGAUCCACAUAUCAUUCCACACACUCGAACUUCGCAAUUUGCUAAAGUUCAGUGUAUUACAACUAAAUUCCAUUUGGACUCAAUUAGGCAUAAUUUGUUCUAUCAAACUUGCAUCAUUUAUAGUAUUGUUAUGAACAAAAGCUUUUCUUACUAAAAUAUCAGGAAAGUUCUUGCCUUCUUGUGAAUGAGUGGAUGACUGCUUGCUUCUUUUGCCACUAAUCAGGUGAAGCUAUUCCUCUUGAAUACAAUUUGGCGGGACUGAAUGCUAUAUCCUUUGAAAAAGGUUGCUAUGUAGGCCAGGAGCUUGUCGCACGGACACAUCAUCGCGGUGUUAUUCACAAGCGCUUGCUUCCUUUUAAGUUUUUAAAUGAUAAUGGUGAAGGUACUUAUUUUCUAGUUAUUAACUUUAAUUUUUCUUUUGGUACUGUUGUUUAGAUGCUCAUGUAUUAUUGUUUACUUUACUCAGAAGUUGAGCAGGUUGUAUCCCCUGGUUCAGAGAUUGCGGAGAGUAAUUCCAACAAGACAGUUGGCACUGCAAAUACGGCAGUUGGGUGUUGUGGAAUGGGCAUACUCAGACUCGAAGAAGCAUUCAACCCAUCAUCUACACUCACAAUCAAGGAUCAAAACAAGAUUCAAGUUAAGGUUAUUAGACCAGAUUGGUGGCCUACGGAAUGGAAUCAUGUACAUGAAGAACAAACUGUUGCUGCUUAAUUGUGACUAAAUUGUAAUCUCUGAUGAUGAGGGAUUUUGAGUUGAUAGCGUUUGAGCUAACUUAUGUCUGUAAUCUUGGGUAGUUAUCACUGCCUCGAUUGUAGAGUUUAUGUAGCAGUGCAAGGUGAAUAAAAAGAUUUUCAGGAAUGUCAUUAGGAGACUGACUAGUGGAGAAAAAGUUACUGAUUGUACCGCAUAUUCUAAAUUUUGCAUUUACAAGUCCAGGACUCUCCAUUAUCAAUUUUAUUUCUCUUUAUUUACUUCUGCUUUUCUUUUAUUUUCGUUUUUAGUCUGGUUAUUAAACCUUUGUAAAUGGCUUAUAUGCAGGUAAUAAAAUAAAGUGAGGAAUUAGUUGGUGGAGUUGGUCUUAUAUGUUGAUAAACUGAACAUUGAGUAAGCUUAUUUUUUUCCUUUAUACCUGAAAUGUUCUAUAGCUUAAUUAGAUACCUAGCCUUAUAUGUAUUAUCUCUUACCAUUAACUCAUCAUAUGCUGUUAUGGGUGGAUUAGAUAAUGUUGUAUGAGAAGAGCCGGAUAAAUAUAAUGCUGUGGGAAAAAACAAAAUACUAAUUAUUAAGGCUUCAUUUCAUUUCAUUAUAUUGACAUUUUUGAAAUGUGGGAAAUGUUGCUUUUGAAUGGUUGGAAGUUUGAAUGGCCUCCUCAUAGGCAACCAUUUCUGGCUGUUCUUACUCUUAGUAGUUUCACACUUUUGCCUCCAAUGGUAAUCUACUACUUGGUAGUCACUUCUUGCUGUUCUUAUUCCCAAUCGUUGCGCAUGUUUCUUUACUUCAGUUAUUUGCUGUUCCUGCUACAGUCACUGCUUGCUGUUCUUAUCCCUGGUCGUUGCGCAUAUUUGCUUCCUACAGUUAUUUGCUUUCCCUACUACUACUCUGUGCUUAUGAGUGGUGUUGCCGAAUCUUCUUAGCUGAUCCUUACUUUUUUGUGAUUUUUUUGGGGACUGUUUGAAUUAGUUCUUUUGUAAGGUCACAGAAAUAGCAAUUUUUAUUGGAGACUGGCUAAUUAUAUUCAUAUUCACGCUGUAGUUGUUUCGUUCUACACAUUCUCGCAUUGUAGAAAAUCCAGCUCCAACCUUCUCAGAGCUCUCUCUCGCCCUCGCCUCUCUCCAUUGGUAGGAGGUCGCCUCUCAAUCGCUUGUACGACACUCUAAACCGCUCCCAUGUCCAUCCCAGGAUCUGUCCAAACCGCUUUCCUGCCCAAUCCAAGAUCUGCCACUUGUUCAUUCACUCAUGUGCGCCCGAAAUUGGUGGCGAUUUCUGACCUCGCGGCCACAACCCAAAUAGGGGACUCAACCGAAACAAGAGACUCUUUUAAUGCCUAUAAUCUUGUUCUUUCAAAUUUUUUAUUUAAUAUAAAAUUUCUAUUUUUAGGGUUUAGGGUGUCACCUUCACAUUCACCUUUGCCGUGCUGCGGAUUUCGUCACCGAGUAACAGACUCACUCAAUUUUAGAACACUGCCGGUAUAUAUUAAUUUUGGUUGCAUUUAUAUAAAUUCAGGGUUUAGGGUUAGAAUUAGGGUUUAGGGUUUAGAAGUUAUGUAAGGUACCGGACUUCUAAAGGUAUGAAGUUACGGUGUACGUUUAAAUGGUUCCGGUGAGGUUGCGGUGUAAUGUAAUAUACCGGAUUUAAAUAUAAAAAUAGAAAUAAAUAAAAAUAGUAUGAGAUACUAUUUUUAUUGGAUUUAGAGAAGUGAAAUAUAGGUUGGGAAUGACCUGUGCUGAAAUCGGAAUUAAAACAGAAGAUUUAGAAUUUUCUGUUGGAAAUGGGACAGAUAAAUUAGCAGAAAAUGCACAGUCUCAGAAAAUUAUGAAAAUUGGCAGAGAUGUCAGAAAUAUUUUUAUGAGGCUAGAUUUAAGGUUUCAUAUUUUUCUGACACCCGUAGAGUGAGAAAUAAAAUCCGAAAGCUAUCUGAUAAAGAUUGCAGUUCGGUACAGUUUUCAGUGACCAAACGGGGUCGAAACUGAACCAGUGAUCGUCAGCUUGUUAAGUUAAGUAAAACCGAACAUGGACUGUCAAGUUUGAGCUUCAAACGGACAUUCAGGGAGCUCCGGCGAAAGAUAUCAGAUUUCGAGCUGCCUAGACCGAGUGAAUUAGUGUUAUCUGUUGAAGGGAACUAAUAGUGUAAAAGGGACUUAAUCCCUGUCUUCUCCUCCUCAACCGUUGCGUACACAACCGCACACACAUCAACAACACACGCAUAACAUUUGAAAGGGAGAGAGAACACUUCCUUUCUCAUCUCUAGAUCUCUCCCAAAUAAAUAGAUGGAUUUGGGAGAAAGCAAGCUGGAAGUUUGAUCUUCAUCAAUUCAUCCUCUUCUCUCAGCAUGGAGCUUGCUUGAGAGGUAAGCAUUGAAACCCCUUAAUGGUAGUUUAGAAUUGCUAGGCUUCAAUUAUAUCUCUAAAAAUGGAUUUAUUGGAAUCCUAUGAUGCUAAAAUAGAUGAUUGUUGCGCUAAAAUCCCGAUCAAUUUAAUGAUUUCUUGCCUAAUUAUAAACCUAGGCUCUAAAAUGCCAAAUUUUGCUAUACUAGGGUUGAUCUCGUUUGACCCUCCGUAAACCUAAUUGAUAGUCGUAAACGAACGCUGGUUGACGAUAGACGGUUUCGGCGAUUGUCGAAGCCGGUGCGAAGCUUCAUUAAAGAAACGACCGUUUAGGCUUCGUUUCCGCCUUGAAGGGCCGAGGCGACGUCCGUAAAUCAUGGAAUUGAUUUGGAGGCACCGUAAACAAAAGAAAGACCCUUUUUGCCGACGGCUGCCGAAGCGUAUGCCGCGGUUGGUGCACAAUUGCAAGUUUCGACGCGAACCGGGGCGGAUGCUACGGGAGCCGAUUGCAAGGUCGACAAGCAAUCGGAAUCGCUAGCAGUGGUUGUGUUACGAGCGACUUAGGGUCGCUCUCAUUGUCGAAGAAAAAUUAUGAUUUUCCUUAGUUUGAUGCAUAUAAUGGGUGAAAUGCUAUAUGAUUGCAUAUGAUGUGAAGAUUGGGUAAAUUGCAUAUAAUGUGAAAAUGAAUAUAUUACAUGAUAAUUGCAUAUGAAUACUAAUGCAUUGCUAAGUGGACAAUGAUGUUAAAUGUUAAUGCGAUGCAUGUGGACAAUGAGUGUUAAAUCGUUUAAAUGCAUGUACGUGGACAAUGAUGUUAAAUUGUUGAAUUAUAUCCAUGCCUAAGUGGCAAGUAAUAUGUGAAUGUUAAAUGAAUGCGAUGAACUAAAUGUUAAUGAAUGCAUGGAAUGAUGUUGAGGAAUGCAUGGAUAUAUUAUACUAUCGAGGACAUUAAUUGGUUUGUGCUAAAUGAUCUAUGUAAAUUGGAACAUAUGCAUGUUAACGUAUUUGUAGACUAUGUUGGGGUAACAUAUGCUAAUUACAUAUGCAUUGUUUGAUUGAGAUUUAAAACUCUUUGGAUGAUUUAGAAAACUUGACAUUUGAAUACAAUGUAGUAUUAAUAUAUGAUAUGUUUGGUUUCCUACAAUGAGAUGAUAAAUGUGUGAUCAAGACUAGGUAAAUGGCAACCUUAGCAUGAUUGGGUAAAAGUAAUGCACUCGAGAACACUUGAAUUAUGUACGAGUGUGGCAUUAUAUGCAAUCUUAGUGUGUAGUGGACAUAAGCAUUGUAUGAGUAUAGAAACCUAUUGUUACUAUGUUGAUACUAUCCUUAGUUGAUAGGCGUGCUCCCAAUUCGAGAGAUUGGAUCUGUGUCACAUAGCCCUGUCAUGCGCUGGAGGGGUCGUCACCCACAGCUGUCACUCCGGAGGUUGGUCACUCAGAGGACAGUCAGUGUGCUGUCUGGAGGGUCUGUGUGCUGUCCGCAGAGCGGUCGUCGGCGGGACAGUUCAGUGAGACUUUUCUCCCUAUGAGACUUUGAGUAUGUUGAGAUUGAGGCACCCCCUUUGGGGUAGCCAAGUGAUUGGGUAAAACAAGUUGAUGAGCCUAUACGUGAGUUGUCCUACUUUGAGGGGGAUUUAGCCGCCAGGUGCAAUGAGAUGUCCUUCGCUCGUGCCUGGCUUUGUGCGGGUAACUUUUUUUUUCCGCAGAUGAUUGUGACUUCAAGACCGAGUCUGAGCGGCUAGCUUUGUAAAGUAGAUUAACCUUUGAUUAAAAUGGUAGAAUGACAGAAAACCUUAAAUGUCAAUUGGAUGAAAGUAGUAAUAUUGAAUUACUACGUUGGUUGAUAUAGUUGCCAUUAUUUGCAUGAUCUUCAUAUUGCAUAUCGCGAGGGCAAUGAUGUUAUUUGUUAAUGCAUGAUCUUAUUAUCAUAAUCUAUCUGUUUUGAACUAACCUGCAGUUGCCUUCCUUCGGACAUGUCGGUCGAGUUUUCCCUUGGGUCGGCCGUACCCAUGGGAACUAUGGAGGUUAGUUCUCACCCCACGAUUGCGUUUUUUGGGGUGUUACAGGUUUCACACUACCGGGGAGCGGCGCGGCGGGCCGAGGGACAAGGGACGUAGCUCCGUAGAUAGCGCCUACCACAGGACCAGACGGUCUAGCGGGGUAACCCGAGUCGAACAUAUCUUAGGGGUUAUUAGGAGAUGAAAGAUUAAUGUAUUGAAUAAAUGAAAAGAACAGAGUACGUAUACUUGUAAAUAAUGAAUGUUAGUUAGCUUAGAUUGAUUUGGUGGAAGGUAAACAGUAAAAUGUAUUGAGAUGUUAAGUGCGUAAAUUGUGAAUGCUUGUUUAUAAUAAUAUUAGAGAUUGUGUUUAUGUUGUUGAUACCCUUCCUUCCCCCAUUAUGCAAUCGUUGCUAUGUUGAAUAUGUUCCUGUUUGGAACCUGUAUGUAAUUGUAAUUGCAUUGUGAUACUGCCUGAACGUACAGUGGAACUCUGGUCCGUAGUGCCAGGGGAAACUCUGUCCGUUCGGCGCUGUCGGCGCCGCCGACCUGACCAAUAGGCGGGUGUCUGCGGGCUUAUUGACAGUAAGUGGGUUAUCAGAGCAUCAAAGAGAGAAUGGGAAUGGUUUAGAUGGACCUAGGAGACCUAGGAUAUGCUUAAACCAUAGGAGAAUAAGGCUCGUGAGAGACGAGGAUAUAUGGUUAUGGCGAAAGAUUAAUCGAUUGUGUCAGUUUUGAAGCCUCUAUAACGGAUAUUAGAGGUUAGACUCGAAGUGUGUGUUUGUUCUCAACCGAGGUGUUUCAUGUUGGGUCGACACAACAUGAAACCGCAGUAUUGAGAAUAGAUACCUUGCGUGACUUUCGCGCGAUUGUAGUCUAGACAGUGUCAGUUUGUUUUCGCGCUCGACCUUGAGCGGUCGAGAGACGAUCGAGCUGUCGGCGUUUUAGGAAGCGAUGGUGCCGCGUUAGGCGAAUCUUAGUAGAUCGGCACGGGAUGGGACGAGUGUCGUCCCUGAGCAAUCGAAGUGGAACGAGAGACUUGCGGACUUCGUGAGAGCGAUUGUCACUCUCGUGUGGAGUGGAGGAGGUUGACAAGCCGAAUAGCUGCAGCCGUCAGAGGAAGCGCGUAUUGCCAGGAGGAGCGGAAUGAGGGAAGACUCCAGGAAACGAAUAGAUCAGCCUGGGGGCUAUACCAGCUGCCGUUCGUCGAGUUGGACCGGGAGUUGCUGACGGAAGUAUUUUUCCGCUGGGUUCGAGCAAAUCGACUUUCUGGCCACAUUCAGAAGCGAAGGCAGGUGAAGGACCGAUUUGGCGGCCCUCAUGACCUUUAACGAUUUGAUCCCUCUGCCUUUAAUGGACGAGAAUUAGCGGAUCCGUUGUCGUGGAGUGUGGAUCGACUUCAUAGAGACUCCUUUUGGGGAGCCUGCUGCAUGUAGAGUUGAGAGGAUACACCUAGUGUGCGUUGCUUGCAAACAAUCGGUGAAGGUGGGUGGAAAGGCCAAUUCGACGAAAUUCGAUUGCCUAGUUUUCCUCCUGAUGAUUCGGAUGAGUUUCGGGGAUCAAUAUUCCUCUUUACUUCCCGAUGACUGAGUAAGAAAAGCUUCAGGAAAGGUUCCCGAAGCUUAUGGCAGGUAGACCGUGCCGUGAGUGGGAAUACGAGCAGGAAUUUCCACUCGUUAUCGUGAGUUGUGUCCCGAAACGUAUUAGUGCCGGAUGCGAGGCAACUUGGCGAUGUGCCUCUGCGAAGACCUUGGCCGGACGUGGUCGAGGUACCAUGUGCGGUAUAAGGAAGUUAAAUUUCUCGAAAUACGAGGAUUGGACUUGCGCUGUAGAAUCGACAAGGGUCGUGUUGGUGUCUUCCGGAAAAAGCCGAAGAAUGUUAAAUCACCAAAAGCUGCGUUGGAAUUGAGAUGUCACGAGAGAAAUUAGUGCAAAUAUGACUGGUGGAGAUUGCUCGGGACUGUCCUGGCAGGGACGAGACGGUUCCCCCGUAGCUUGAAACCUCGCCCAGUUUUUUGGGCCAGUGACAUUUCAUUGCAGUUGCGAUUGCAAUCCCAAAACCUCGGAGGUCAUCUACUUAACCUUUCGAAUGGGGAUUUGUAGAAGCUUCUCACCAGGCCACAGUUGGGUCCGUGCGCCUGGUGUGAUGAAAGGUGAUUUGUUUGAAUGGCCAGACCUUAGCGUUGGCGAUGGCUUUCUCCUCUCCGAGAAACAGCUGCAGGGUUGUGGUUCACCUACAGCAUGGUCUGGAGAGUGAUGGCGAGAGGUGACAACCGCUGGGGUUCGCGCGGCGCCCUAACGAGGCCGUAGAUAUCUUGCGGACGGGUUGUGAAACCUGCUGUUAUCGAGAUACCAUGGCAGUUAUGAGUUAAUGAAGCAAGCAUAGGCUUUGUAGGAUGUUGAGUUGGUGAUGCAUGCAUAUGCAAUAUGGGUUUCAUUUACUACAAUCGAUAUGUCAUUCGUGGUAGGAACCGAAGGGACGGUGUAAGCGUAGAUACCCCGGGCAUGUUUGCCUGUGGGGAGCGUAUCACCUGUUGAGCACGGUAGAAGCGGAUAAGCACUAGCAGAUGCUGGUGAUUGAUUGUGGCGAUAAGUGACGCACUCGCCAUGGUAAGAGACAAACGGUUGAAGCGACCUCCAAGCAAGGUAGUUGAUUGUGAGAAUUAGCGCCGUGACCUUGAGGAUUACCCGGUUAGUCCGGAUAUUCCGAUGUAGAUCCGGUACGCGUUGAACAGUGGAAAGUCUAGAAUCACUCGUCGAGAGAAUAGCCGGUUAGUUGCUGGAGUACGGGCAACAUAGGCCUAGCUAAGUACCUCAGUUUGAGGUGGAAGUUGUGCUUGUUUGGUCGGCGUGCCGAUACGCAAGGUUGCCUUACGUGACAUUGUGGUGGGAGCCUUAUAGACGACGUACGACGUAAAGACGAGAGCGCUCGAGAUAGAUACUUGUUACAGAGUGCGGAUUUGACUCAGCGGGAGAGUGUGUUGGCAGUAAACUUCAGCAUUGUAGUGUGAAGUCGGCCGUGGAAACUCGUAGGGCUGGUGCUUGCACGCUAGGUGCGUUAGAGCGAUAACUGCGUAUUACUGUGACUCGCUAGAGUAUGUCUUGUAGGACGCGACAGCGGCAUUGUCAGGACAUUCGCUCUGGCCAUUUGUGGACUGUGGAGCCUGGGCCUUUGGGCAGGCGCGCAGUCAGCUGUGAGGAAGCGGCCCAUAUCCUACGGUGGGGCAGAGUUUUUGGUCAGAACGUAGUCCGAGCUUGGACCCGGGACGCGUGGAAUGCCGCGCGUGGGAUCAUGAGAUCGAGGAUACACCGAGUGUGGUACGUGACCCAAUCCAAGGAUUUGAUGUGGUUUGGGGUCUUAGUUGCUCCUGAUUGGAGUGUGUGCGAAUUCUCCAAUGAGGAUUUCGCCCAAUAACGAUGAUUGGGUCUACGCUAGUGAGCGAUAGAUGCUACGCGUAGUUGAGACGAUGAUUGGGUCUACGCUAGUGAGCGAGAGAUGCUACGCGUAGUUGAGACCGGUUUAGGCGGUAGGCCUACGUAGGAUUGGUGACCCGUGGUUCACCUAUGGAUUUGAGGAAAGUGGUUGAGCGAGUAGCCUCAGCGAUGGGUGUGGCUUAGAUUUACGAGUGGGAGUUCAUGUGAAUUCGUUGCAAGGACGAGUUGAUGAUGAUCGUGGCAUAUGGUAUUCAAGGAUAUACUGCUCGUGCGGGACAUUGGGCUAUUGGACGCCACGAGAGGUAGAGAAUUGAAGUUGAUGCUCCUAAGUGAAUUGGAGCUUGAGAGUAAUGCACUUUUGUGGAUUGAGAGUGGAGAUGUGUCGGAACGUGCCAUCUCGUAGUAGAGCAAGGAUCCGGUUGGGGACUGGAGCACUCGCGAUUGGUCGAUGCACCAACGAUAUUGCCUCUAAGCAAUGCCGGUGAUCGAAUCGGAGUGAAAUUUCCCGAUUGGAUGUGUAAUGCAAAGAGCAAUUCUUUGCAUGGUGGUAAUGCACUUUUGGACUUACACAUGGCAAAUGUGAGUGAAAUUGGUCUCACAUCCUCCGUAGUGGGCCUUUGGACAGUUCCGAUGAGUAAAAGGCCACUUCGAGAUGCGAAAGUGCAUUGGAACCCUCGACUUUCGAUAAGUUGAGUUGAGGUGUGAGUUGAGUUGAAGCGAGUUAGUUUCGGGGACGAAACUCUUUUAAGGAGGGGAGAAUGUAAGGUACCGGACUUCUAAAGGUAUGAAGUUACGGUGUACGUUUAAAUGGUUCCGGUGAGGUUGCGUGUAAAUGGUAAUAUGACCGGAUGUUAAAUAUAUAAAAUAGAAAUAAAAUAAAAUAGUAUGAGAUACUAUUUUUAUUGGAUUAUAAGAGUGAAAUAUAGGGUGGGAAUGACCUGUGUAGAAAAUCGGAAUUAAAAAACGAAGAUUUAGAAUUUUUUUCUUGGAAAUGCGACAGGAUAAAUUAGCAGAAAUCACAACAGUUCCAGAAACAUAUGAAAAUUGCAAGAUGUCAGAAUAUUUUAUGAAGUAGAUUAAGUUUCAUAUUUUCUUUUUGGGUUUUUGACACCCGCAGAGUGAGAAAUAAAAUCACCAAAGCUAUCUGAUAAAGAUUGCAGUUCGGUCACAGUUUUCAGUGACCAAACGGGCGGCCUGGGUCGAAACGAACCAGUGAUCGUCAGCUUGUUUAAUUAAGUUAAACCAACAAUGAACUGCAUUUUGAGCUCAAACCGCGACAUUUCAGGGAGCUCCGCGAAAGAUAUCAAGAUUUCGAGCUGCCUGGAGUGAAUUAUGAAUUUUGACGCAUAAAGUGCUAAACGGACCUUAAAUCCUUCUUUCCGCUCCCUCAACCGUGCUACCACAACGCACCGCACACACACAACAACACGCAAUACAUGAAAGGAGAGAGAACACUUCCCUUUUUCUCUCUUAUAGCUCUCCCAAAAAUAAUGGAUUUUUGGUGGAGAAGCAAGCUUGAAUUGAUCUUAUCAACUUCAUCCUCUCCUUCUCCAUUGGAGCUUGAACUGAGAGGUAAGCUUGAAACACCCUUUAAUGGUUAGAAAAUUGUAGGGCUUCAAUAUAUCUCUCUAUAAAGGAUUUAUGGAAUCCUAUGAUGCUAUAAUGAUUGCUUGCCUAAAUCACGAUCAAUUUAAUGUUUCUUGCCUGCAAUAUAAACCUAGGGCUCUAAAAUGCAAUUUUGCUACUACUAGGGUUUGAUCUCGUUUGACCCUGGCCGUUAAACUAAUGAUAGGUAACGAACGGAGCUGUUGACGAAGACGGUUCGGCGACUUCGUCCGAGCCGGUGCGAGUAUUAGAGAAACGGACGUUUAGCAUUCGUUGUCGCCUCGACAGGCCGAGCGACGUACGUAAAAUCAUGGAAUUGAUUUGAGGCACGUAACAACAAAACGAGGAGCCUUUCUGCGCGACGGGGCGAAGCGAUGCGCGGUUUGGUGCACAAUUCAAGUUCGACGUGAACACGGCGCCGAUGCUAACGUGGAGGCCGAUUCGCAAGUGUUCGAACAAGCAACGGAAUGCGCUAGCAGGUGGGCUUGUUGCUUACUCGAAGCGAGCUAGGUUCGGUCUCUGAUCGAAGAAAAAAUAUAUUUCCUAUUGAUGCAGUAAAUGGGUGAAAUUGUAUAGAAUGCAUAUGAUGAAGAUUGGGUAAAUGCAUAUAAUUUGAGAAAGCUAUAUUACAUAAUAAUUGCAUAUGAAUAUAAUGCAUGCAGUGGACAAUGAUGUUAAAUGUUAAAUGCAGUAGUCGACAAUGAUAGUUAAUGUUAUGCAUCUAGGACAAAUGAUGUUAAAUGUUUAAUAUAAUGCAUGGCUAGUGGCAAGUUAAUAAUGUUAUAUGUUUAAAUGAAUGCAAUGAUACUAAUGUUAAUCGAAAUGCAUGAAAUGAUGUUGUAGGAAUGCAUCGGGAUAUAAUUAUAAUAGAGGACAUAUAUUGGUUUGUCUAAUGAUCUAUGUAAUAUGGAACAUAUGCUGUUAACCGGUAUUUGUAGACUAUGUUGGGUAACAUAUGCUAAUUAACAUAUGCAUUGACUUGAGUUUAAAAUCUUGUAUGAUUACGAAAACUUGACAUUGGCAAAUACAAUGCUAGUUUAAUUAUAAUGAUAGUUUGGUUUCCUACCAAUGAGAUGAAUAAAUGUGGAAUAAGACCAAGCUAAAUGAGACAACCUAAGAAUUGGGUAAAAGUAAUGCAUCGAAGAACACUUGAAUUAUGACGAGUGGAUAUAUGAAUCUAGAUGUUAGCUGGAACACUAAAUUGAUGGAUUAAAAACCUAUUGGUUCAUGUUGAUACAUCCCCCCUUACGCCUCUGAUUGAUAGGCGUGCUCCCAAUUCUGAGAGAUGUGAUCGGUGCUCACAUAGCCUGUCUGCGCUUGGAAGGGUCGUCCCCACAAAGCUGUCACUCCGAGGUUGGUCACCGAGGACAGUCAGUGUGCUGUCUGCGCGUCUGUGUGCUGUCCUGAGGCGGUCUCGGGGACAGUUCAUGAGACGUUCUCCCUAUGAAUUUUGAGAUGUGAGAUUAGAGGGCGACCCCCUUGGUAGUUAGCCAAGUGAUUUGGGUAACACAGUUCAUGAGCUAUAGUUGAUUGUCCUACUUGAGGGGUAUUUAAGGCCGAGGUGCAAGUGAGAUGUCCUUCGCCUCGGCCUGGCUUUGUGCGGUACUCCGCAGAUGAUUACUCAAGACCGAGAUCGAGCCGGCUAGCUUUGUGUAAAGGUAGAUAACCUUAUGAUUAAAAUGGUAAAUGACUAGAAAACCUACAAUGUCAAUUUGAUGAAGGUAAUCGAUUGAAUACUAUUUGGUUGUAUAUUGUAUUAUUCGCGAUGAUCUUCGUAUUGCAUAUUCGCGACGGCAAUGAUGUUAUUGUUAAUUGCAUGCAUCUUAUUAUCCAUAUCUAUCUGUUUAUUGAACUAACCUGCAGCUUGCCUCCUUCGGACAUGUCGGUCGAGCUUUUCCCUUGGGUGGCCGUACCCACUGGGAACUAUGGAGUUAGUUCUCACCCCACGUUGCUUUUGGGGUGUUACAGGUUCACACGUGAGCGGCGCGGCGGCGCGAGGAAAGGGCGUAGCUCCGUAGAUAGCGCCCUACCACAGAGACCAGAGUUAGCGGUACCCCGAGUCGACAUAUCCUAGGGGUAUAGAGAUGAAAAGAUUAAUGUAUUGAAUAAAUGAAAAGAACAAGAUGUACUAUACUUGUAAAUAAUGAUGUAGUAGCUUAGAUUGCAUUUGGUUGGAAGUAAAAGUAAAAAUGUAAUUGAGAUGUAAAGUGCGUAAAUGUGAAUGCUUGUAAUAAUAAUAUAGGAUGUGUUUAUGUUGUUGAUACCUUCCUUAUGCAAUCGUUGUAUGUUGAAUACUGUUCCUGUUUGGAACCUGUUGUAAUUGUAUUGAUUGUGAUGCCUUGAACGUACAGGGGAGACUCUGUCCGUAGUGCAGGGGAAACUCUGUCCGUUCGGCGCUGUCGGCGCCGCGACCCUGACCAAAUAGGCGGGUGGUCGCGGGCUGUGACAAGUUACUUCCACAGUCACAUACUUCACGAAUUUCAUUAAAUUUUGUUCGGUUUAAGAUAGAAAAUACGUAUUCAUUGCAAAUAUACCUAAUUACGCCAUAAUAGAACAGUAUUAUGUUGUUUUAAAUUUUGUUUGUUUGAAUGUGGAACACGUAUUUAGUACAAAUAUUCACUCUAAUUUAGGGAUUAGUAGAAUAGUGCUACACAAAUUUACUGAUACAUAUUAUUUUGUUUGUAUCCAUAUAAUUCAUAAUUUAGGAUGAGGGUUUAGAAAUUUUCACUUAUAUACUACAGUGAUACACACAAACAUACGGUUUAUAUAGAUAAUUCAUAUGAUUAAGUUUUGUUCGUUUGAAUAGAAAAAAUAUAUAGGAAAUAUGUAUUAAUUGAUAAUAUAUUCUCUUAUGGAUUAGUAGAACGGUGCUAUGAUGUACGCUGAACUUUAGCAAAUUGCAAGAUUCUAUUGUUCGAAUAGUAUUUAGUACUAUUCUUGAUGUGUUUGAGGGUCAUAGACUGUGCUUCAACUUAUUUACUUGCGUCUUGGGAAGCGAGAGUGAAUACUUAGCACCAAAAUCUCCAAACUGUAGGUUUUGGGGUGCUGGGUACGGGGUACCGGUACCACAGAGGGGUAUCGGAACCCCGAUGCGUAGCUGAGAAGGGUGCUCUCGGGUUUGAGCUCUGGGAGCUAGGCCGAGUAUCACUACUGACUUGGCCGAGUACCAAUACUGCAUCGAGCGGGUACCGGUACACCGCAAGCUGCCUUCUUGACAAAGGCUCGGGUUUGCGAGAAUGGUUGUUAAGUUCUGGUACUCCUGUCUGCGUACCGGUACGCAGUGCAGCGAACUGCUUUUGUGCAGUUUGCAAUUUGGCUGUUUGUGAGGGGCUUUGCGGGGAUUGUUAAUUACCACUUGUAUAUAUACCCCACCUCCUUUCUACUUAGCCCUUGUGCUGAGGACUUAGAAAAAAAAAAAAAAGGUGAGCUCUCUUCUCUUCUCCUCUCUAGAUUUCUUCUCCUUUAUUAGAGAUUAAGGUGGAUUGAUCUGUUCUCUCUUUUCCUCUUCUAUGGGUGGAUGAUCUUGAACCUUGGAGAAGCUUUGGAGUUGAAGGUUUAAGCUUAGUUGAGGAAUUAUCUCCAACCCUAGUACCUUCUUAGUUUGGUUUGGAGCUCUAUAAGAGGUUAGUAACCUUGAUUACUCCUAUUACUCCCUUGGACUGUACUUUGUUGAGUUUUUGGGGAGUUAAACCAAGUUUUGGAAAACUAGGAUUUUAUUUGGGUUUUCUCUUGGUAGAGCCUUUGAGGCUAAAUUGUUGGUUCCAAUACUUCUAUUUAAGUUGGAAUUGAAGCAUCCUAGCCUUCAUUGGGAUUUUGGGAGAGCUUUUCGCCAUUUAAGGUAUUUUUCACCUAUUUAUGGCUUGAUUUUUGAGGAAUUUCGUGGGGUGUUCGUUCGAAGCCCGUAACCCUCUUGAAAUUUUUGUUAGGGAGCUAGAAGUUAGUGGGCAACCUCGUUCGCGCAAACGAAAGGGUUUCGAGGGGUAUCCGGUGGAUUUCACCUCACCGAAAUGGGUGAACUCCUCCUAUGUCAUUUCGUAUGGUUUAAUAUGGAAAAUUAUGCUCUAUUAUGGCAUAAGAGUGUUUAUUAUAUCAAAAAAUUAAAACUUAAUAGGAGUGUUCUAUUAUGCUCUAAUAUUGUUCUAUUAUAUAUAGCAUAAGGGUGUAAGAUUGUAACGCAUACAUGUUCGCAUUAAAACCUGAUAAGAGUGUUCUAUUAGGAUUUUUUUUUUUAUAAACUAACUCUCUAGAAUUUUAAAAUUUGUGAACCCUCCCAAAAUUAUAUUUGUAAAACUAACACUCCUUUGGCCACGUAGGCGGGAGGGAAAAUUUUUCUUAUGAAGGCGGUGAGCGAUUUACCAUCUUACUAAUAUAACUAAUAAAGACGGUGUUCACUGCCUUUUGCUUAUUUAAUAUUUUUCCUCCACAGCCGCUAGUAUAUUGUACUUAAUGUGGCUUCCUAAAUGAAUGGCCUGCAACAUUCCUAAUGUUUAGCGAUUGAAAAUAAGAGGUUUUGGAUGUAAUCUACCAUUCGAUCAAAUGACAUUAAAUGAACUGAUCCAUGAUCAAACUAAUGCCUUUGUGUUCUCUUAUGACAUGAUGUGCAGCAUUAUUUAUGAUGCUUUACCUCAUUAAUUUCUACAGGGGCAUGGCAUUAAGAAGGGGCUGGCCUCAAUGCUCGCAAAUUUAAAACCUCAAUUUCUCAGAUACCCAGGUUCAUAUGAAAUUUGCUCUCUGACUACUUUCAUGCCUUAGUUAUUCAGCUAACUGUUAUUCGUAAAUAAAUGAAUCAUGCAAUGUGUGUACCAGCAGCUGACAAGUAUUUUAUCUCAACAGGGUAACUGGUGCCUCAAGUACAACAAACUGAAAAUAAAUAUUGAAAGGUACAUUUAAGAGAUUGUUGCAAUAUUUAGAUUGUUGCAAUAUUUUGGAGUUAUUAAUCCAUGUUCUGAUUAAUCCAUGUUCAGCUUGUGUUUCAGCUCCCUUUAGCAGAGUAAUUAAUCCAUGUUCUGAUUUGGGAUCUUUUAAUACUCUAUUUCGGUUGAUGUGAACUUUGAAUGCAUGCAUGAACAUCUUGUGUAGCAUCUCUAACUCCAUUUACUCGAUGGGUAUAUGAUAAUUGGUUAAAUCAGCAAAUAAAUACUUAUGAUGUGAUUAUUCACUUGUAGAUGAAGCUUGUUAUCUUGAAAAGUUAUAAAUUUUUCGCUUAUAUUGUGCAUUUUACUUCAUGCUACUUGUUUCUGAUACUGUAUGACUGGUCUGAAUUGGUCCUUAUUGAACUCACUACCUGUUCAACAGUAUGCUUACGUGUCUGUCCGCCGUCUGCUUGAUGCUUGUUCGAUGUGUAGAGUUCCCUAAAUUUGUUCAUUUCGGUGCCCUUAUUUUCAGCAUAUUUAUGAGAAUUAGGUGCCCUUGAAUGGUUUGGGUAUGCUUUAGAUACGGGCCUUGGUGUGUCUGCUUCUGUUUGAUAUUUGUUCUAAGUAUGUUUAUAAUCUACAAUCUCUUUUCAAAUUGUUGAUAAACAUAUGUGGGUAUCAUUUAGCAUUGCUUUCUGCUAAUUUCUCAGACUGUUUGGUCUUGUAUUGCUUCCAAAAUUUUCAGUUAUGGCAUAUAGACCGACUAAAUGUGACACUUUGGUUCUUUUAGUAAGAAGUCGUUGUAUAUAAUACUUUUCUAUUUCUACGAUUAACUAUGUAACCAUGAAGUUCUUCAUCCCAGAAUAAUAUGGAAAUUGGCGUGGUAUUCGGAAUUCAUGUGGAUUAGGUUGUAGUGUGUGGUUAGGGGUACAGUAGGGGAAAUAGGAAAAUGACUUUUAUGGUGAUCAUUUUGGAUAGUAGUAUUAACAUCACUUGAAUUUGGAUAGCAAUAUCAUCAUCGCUUGAAUAAUAUGUUAUUCGUGCCUUUUAGCUUGAGAAUGUUGUGAAUUUUACUUGCGUUCCGCAGAUUAAGUUGUUGUUUGAUUAGAUUUUGCUUAGUAUGAAAGAAGGGACCGUGUGUCAAUGUAAUAAGGUUUCAGCUGAAAGAAAUCCCUCUCAAAUGCAUCUUGAUCUUUAGUCUUAACACUCAGAACAACUAGUUGGAGCUUCUGCACAAGUGUUGUUUAUAUAGAGCCGUUCGAGGGAGCUCUAUCGAAAUCCGUCAGCAGCUUCCUGCAGCUGCUACGAGAAGAACCUUCAAUUGUUGCUUCUCCUUUUGGAUAAUGCUGCAGCUAGAACAUCUAGACUUUCUUUGUUGGAUGCUUGGCUUUGACUACUUGAUUAGAGAAGUUGUUCUGGGAUCUGGGCCAGAAAUGAUUUAAAUUCGUUGGGCUAAAAAAGGAUCUGGCAAAAUUACUUGGACAAGGUUGGUGAGACAAAAGUACAAAGAACUUGCAUACUGCAUGAAAUUAGAUUGCUAUGGCACAAAGAACGUUUGUAUUUUGUCUUACAUUGUCAUGAGUAUUAGCCCCUGCUGCAAUAAUUUUAACAAAUUAAGUUUUUAUUUACUCUGAUGAUUUGAUCCCUUCUGUUGAAAGCAGAACCUAGUUUGCAAUAGCUAAUGGACUUCCAAAAUUUCAGUUUAUAGUAGGAGAUGGUAAAAAUAUGUAUGACUUCACAUAUGUGGAGAAUGUGGCCCAUGCUAAUAUUUGUGCUGAGAAAGCUCUACGUUCAGACCCAGCUUCUGUUGCUGGAAAGGUAUUGUUUCUAAAGAUAUUGUUGCCAAUUCAUAUUCAUUGAUCAACCAACUGCUUUUAUGGCUGACGUUUUUUAUUUCUCACUACUUAAUGGCAGUCAUUUUUUGUUACAAAUGAUGAGCCAGUGGAGCUUUGGGAGUUUAUUUCUAGUAUACAAGAAGGCUUGGGAUACCAGAGGUACCUUCAAUGCAUUUUUCAUUGUCCAGCUGUUCUUUAAGGUUUUGUCUUGAUUCACAUAUUUGCCUUGAGAAUUGCUCUUGAGAACAUGUUUUUUCCAAAUGGAAAAAGUUGUGUUUGAGUAGAACUGUUCGAAUAGACCCAAGCACUUUUUUGUUAAAUCCCUCAAUAGGUUUCACCAGGGCUAAACACUCAGACCUCUUUUUUCGUCAAAAUAUCAAGCUUCUACUUAUAGUAGAGAAGAUAUUUAACUAGGCUAAAUGAACAAAGAAUGGACGAGGCAGUAAUAAUGUUAUCUUUAUUAGUUAAUUUCAUGAUUAUGAGUGGAUUCUGAUUUCUAUAUCCAAAUAGUAGCAACGACUAGCUUUAAAUUCUUGGAAUUUACUGCUGAUUGCAAAGAUUUGAGCACAAAGACAACUAAUCAAUAUUCUGUCAAAUUGAGGGGGUAUGUAUUUUCCUCUGUCAUUUUUUUUGAACCAAAUUCAUUUGUUUUUUCUUGCGCUUACCAAAUUUAUUUGUUUUGGCAAUGAAGCUUCAGUACUUUUCCUGCUUAAAUUAAACUCUUUACUUAGCACACAUCUUUCGUUUUAUCAUAUAUCAGUGGAUUACUGAAAUUUCCUUCAAAUAGCUGUAGAUUGGAUGUAGGUGGUUUCCUUCAAAAAGUGCUGAUACUAUCUGUUUCAUUCAGGGCCGCAAUUAAUAUUUCUGCCAAUCUUGUAUUCCUACUUGUUCUGCUUGCCCGAAAGUUUAGCGAAAAGGUGUUUUUGCAUAGAAUAUCCAAUCCAAUACCUGGUCCUGCUGCGGUUCACGCUCUCGCAUGCACGAGGACUUUCAGUUGUUCGAGAGCUAAAAGCAUUCUUGGUUAUUUUCCAGUCUUAUCAAUGGAGGUGAGCUGGUUUUAAAUUUCGUCUAUUGCAAAAAUACUUAUACUCUUUUUGUCUUUUUCAAUUGGCUUCCAAGCUUAUCCAUGUUUUUGAACAUCUUCAAGCUUCAAUAGUUUUUUAAUCAGUUGCAUGGUCUGUACACUUUGACCACUUUACAGGGCAGGUCAAUUUGAUAAAGCCCCUGCUGAAGCCAGGUUAUGAGUUUGAUCAGCUUUUGGUGCUAGGUAAACUUAUUUCUGCAUUAGUUUUUCCAUUUUUUGCUACCAUAAUCAAUUAUCUUUUAGCUUUUGUAUAAAGUCAUCAUUUUGUUUGCCUUUUCCCCCUUCUAUUUACAUACAUAUAUCUAGAUUAUGUUGUGGAAUGGUGCUUUAUAUUAAAGUGGAAUUGUAUUGUGAUUUUGGUCUAUGAUUUGUUUUCAUGGAUGCUUAACGACUUGGCUCAAGCUCUGACAUGCUCUAAGAAGAAACUCUCAAUAUCUGACGCACCGAUACUCUGUUGUUAUUUUUUCCGUUUUAUUUAGACAAACAGGGUCUUUUAGGACCCGGUGAGAGGUUAAAAUGCUGUGUAAAUAAAAUUAGAUGUUUGAAUUGGCCAUUCCAUUUUUAUUACAUUCAUAUGGAUAACUAGGUGAUUACACUCUAAGCGUAGUUCUUUCUGUUGUUGGACAAUGUUUGCUUUUGUUCUUCAAACAAUCAUUCAAUAUCUUCAGCAUACUCAGUUCAUACCAAAGAGAAACUUUAAAAAAAGGAUAGUAGCCUAUUUUAAUUUUACAGGCUCAAAGCCUAUUUUGAAGGAUGAAAUUAGCAACCAAACUGUUUGCCAAUUUGGCAUUUGUAGCACUUGGAAAGUAAACCAUGUUUUAGAACUUUAGUUGUUUUCGUUUCUUUAUAUGUAUUAUUUUUGUCGUGUCAAUCAUGUGUGACAUAUUUAGGUUGGUAUCUAAUUUGUAUUUAAACUUUCUCUGAUAGAGAGCAUUUUGCGAAUGCCCUAUAUAUGUGCACCUCAUUAGUGUCCCCAUAUCGUUGCUAUCUAUCCAUAUAUUAAAAGCCCAAUAUAACUGUGGCCUACGUGGCGCUUUCUCGACGCCCCCCCUCUACCGCGCGCUCUCGUGCCCGCCCCGCAUUGCAUGGGUGCUCGGGAGGGUUGCGUGUCGCCCUACCCGCGUCUCUUGGACCCUGUCUCCCGAAUCGCUCUCUCCCCAUCGCUUAUCUCGCGAUUCCUCUCUCCCGGACGCGGGCCCCCGGAGAUGCCGCGGGAUGCGGGGCGUUGUCUCCUAGCUGUACUCGCGGGCGCAUCGUGUGGCAGGAGCCCUAGAUUCCCCGGUGUGCACCGUGCUCCAACUCCUCUCUCUGCGGCGGCCGUCGCGGUACGCUUCUGGCCGUCCUCCGUACUCGCCUACCCUUGCCUGGCCAUGCCCAUCGUCGUCCUUCUCCUCGCCGGCGCCGCAUGUGGCCUGCUUGGUCCCCAUAAACUUUAUAUGGUACUUAAUCAUCACGCUCUACUCUACAACGCUUGCCCUGUCUGGCCUUCGCCCCCUUCCUCUUUGCUGCCCCUGCCCGUCGGUUCCCUCAUGCCCACCGUGCCCCUCCACCUGUCCCCGGGCUCCUCCCUCUUCCUCUCUCUUUCCAUUUNCGGUUCCCUCAUGCCCACCGUGCCCCUCCACCUGUCCCCGGGCUCCUCCCUCUUCCUCUCUCUCUCAGUUCUUGGUGGUACGGCUUGGCCCCCAGGGCAGCCUGCUCCGCUUCCCCCCAGCCCCGUCUCCCUCUUCCUUCCCAUUUGCAGCAGCGGCCUAUAAAUAUCCAGGUGCCUAUAUGCAGAAGUGCCGCGAGUUGGUUGCCUCUGUUUAUGAUCUUUAGCCUUUUGAUUCUACCGACCCCCUCUUCUUCUGGUUCUCUGUUGGGCCCGAGGCUUGACCAGUUGGUCCUGCUCUGGUCUGAGGUUUGUGGAAUCGAAUUUAACAAAUUGUUUAUACAAUACUUGGGGUGCCUGAUUUCGCCGCUUUGCCUUUUGCCUCCUAGGUUGUGUGCUUUUGUGAACUUCUUGGUGGCCGGUUCCCUUACCUACCGCUGAACUUUUGUCCUCCCGACCCUGUUUUGGUGAGUGGUGGGCCAGUCCGUUCUGAAAAAAAACCCAAAAAAGAAUGCUUUUUUUAACAAAACACUGCUGCGAUGUUUACUAGGCUUCUGUGAUAAUAGCAAGAAAGUGUAUCAGACAAUGUAAACUGAAACGACAACAGAGAGUUCUUUGGGAAAUCAUUGUUCGAAGUAAAUAUUUUAUGUACUUUCUUCAGCUUAAAUAAGAUAGCUCUAUUAUGCUCAAUGAAAAUACUAUAAUAGGCUAUGGUAAAUGAAUAAAAAACCAUAAUCCAAAGAAUCAUCAAAAGAAUAUGCAUACAAAAAAAACCCCAGGAAGAAUUCAAUUCAAAUGCCGACAGCCAAACGAAGAAGAGUAUUUAAAAAGUCAAUAAGCAGGGAACAAUUCAAACAAUUGUAUAAAUUCUGUUGCAAAACCAAUUUAAAGAAUCACCCAAAAAGAGGACAAAAAGGAAGGCAUAGCAGCAGGCUAGGGGGUGGGGUUGAGUACAAAAGAAAUUUAGCUCUUCAUUUGAGCUCCAACUCCUGUAGGAGUUGAUGAGGAGGGGCUUAGGAAUGCUUGAAUUCACUUGGGUUUGAGGUUUGUAUGAUCUAAUUAGGUAGUUUUGCACUGCUCAGACUGAAAUCCUGCAUGCCUUUUGGUUUGUUCAAGCUCUUUUUGGGAUGUAUAAUGGGGUUCAAGUUGGAUAGAGUCGGUUUUUCAGAUAAUUCGUUGUACUCAACUAUGCUAUUCGUGUCUUUGUUUGGGAUUAAAUGUGGUACCUAUGCAUGGACUCGGCUGCUUAGAUACAUUGUUGUUUUACUAAUACAACUUUGAUUCCUUCAUUCCUUUCUGUUCCUUGCUAUUUUCUCUCUCUUUUUUAAGGCGAUGAUGAUAAGUAGAGGAGAACGUGGAAAAUGAUGGCUUCGAACAAGAGGGGGUUUGGAUGGCCUAUUCAUAGGCAACCACUUCCUAUUGUUCUUAGCCUUAGUCGUUCCACACAUGUUCCUCCUGCGGUAAUCUAUUGCUUGCUCCUAUUUCUAUCCUGUGCUUGAGAGAAUUUUGCUGGCUUAACUGAGCCUUACCUUUUUAGUUUUUGGUUUUGGCUGUGUGGUUCAAAAAUAAAUAUGUUGAAUUCUUACUUCGCCAAGUUUUUGUUUGCUCCUUUAUUCUUCACUUCUUUGGGCCCAUGCUAUGAUGACCUUCCCCAUUAAUGUGAGCUGAUUGCGAUAAUUGAGGCCGCGCCAAGCCUUCUUGGUUGACGAUAGGGACAUUUUCGAUGCUGGCUUGCUCCGCCGAUGAUGAGGGUGCUUUGGUUAUGCUGCUUUGGAGGCAGCCAAUUGCUCUGCGUCUUCGCUGGUUGUAGGGGGGCUUUGGACGGCCUUUUCGUAUUCAACCAGCCCUUCUUAUUUGGCCUUAGAAUGCUGUUGGUAUACAUGUCCGUUGUAACUCAACCACCGGUUCUGGUUGUGCAGCUUUCUGCGCCAAUCUAAUAAUGUUUGAUGACCGGAGGGGUAGUCUGAGCAAAGUUUUUUUUAUUUCUUGCUCUUCAAUUUUCAUUGGUUUCUAUAUAUAACAAAGCAAAUCUAUCCAUAUAUUAAAAGCCCAGAAAAUAACUCGCGAAUUCAUAACAUAGCUAAAAUAGGAAUCACUAAGACUACAUUUGGUUUGGGAACUAAAGUUUUAGAAAACAACUUUUGUUGUUCCCGGUAUAAGUUAGAACAAAUUAUAAAUUACGUUUUGAUAUUAUUUAUUUGUUAGUACAGAAUAUUUUUGACAAUGUUUGAAUAUUUAUGUUGGAAUUAUCUUUUAUGUUUCUUAGAUUGUUUAGUUGGUGGACUCCGAUAUAAUCCAGCUGGAUCCGGCUAGGCAAUAUAUUUAAAUUAGCAUAUGAAAUUCUGAUUUCGUCACUGUGUUUUGAAUUAAAUAUGUUGAAUUCUUGCUUUGUUGUAUUUUGAUUUGCUCCUUUUCUCUUCGCUUCUUUUGCCCCAUACUACGAUGCCCUUCCCCUUGGAUGUGAGUUACUUGCGGUAAUUGAGGGCGCAACGAGCCUUCUCGGUUUCCUAUAGAGGGCUUUUCAAUGACGGUUUUCUCCACUGAUGAUGAGGGGGCUUUGGGUGGUUUGCUUCGAAGGCAGCCAAUUGGUCUAUUUCUUCGCUGGUCGUGGGGGGGGUUUGGAUGGUCUUUUCCUAGGCAACCAGCCCCUCUUAUUUGGGCUAAGCAUGAUUUUUGUACGCAUGUCCGUUGCAUCUCAGUCGCAAGUACUAAUUGUCGAUUGAUUUGGGGGAUUUCAUUGCUGUUUUACUUUUGGGACAGCUGAAUUGUGGGGAUUCCUAUGCAUGUUGCGAUCUCUGAAACUGAUUGUUAUUUUACCACAAGGAUGCUUAUCUCCACCGGUAGAAAACCUAUUGAAAAAGGUUGGAAAACAGUCCUCGGGCAGGCGACUUGAAUAAAACUUUCCUUCCUGAAAAAGUUGUCGGCUGAAAAAGCCAAGCUGUCGGAGAGCUUUAACAAAUCACUUUUCCGAUAGAUCAAAUGACCCAGAGAAGAGAACUUCGCGAUGAACUCCACAAUUGGCCGCUUGAUACUUUUUAGCUGGUUUUCAACUCGCAUUUCCACAAAAUUUGUUCUGCCAAGGGUGUAUGGGUUUCUCUGAAUGCUUUUCUGAACUCCCUGCGCGGCAGCCUUUGGAACAUGAAAAUCUUUUAAGCUAAUACUAAAGCCACCGAAAAACAGCGUUUUGUCGAGGAAGGAGCUGCCUGAGCCUCUUUGGGAGCCAUACAAAGCAACUUUAUGCAAUUUUCAUGCUUUCCCUCUCUCUAUGUUUAUAUAUAAUAUGGGUUGUUUAUUUUCUGAGUUUCUUUUACCAUCUUUGCCUACAGGAAUGGUGCCCCUCACGCUUUAAUAGAUUUUAUGCUUUUAUCGGCUAUCUACUUUGUGAUUUAUUUAUUUACUUAUGCUUUGCAUGUUGAUUUUGCCCCCUUUUUCCUUUGAUGAAUUCCCUGAUAAUUUAUCCUCUACUACUUUGUUCCCAUUUUGCAUUUUGAUUCCUUUUUUGCGCUUUCUCAUUUGCUGAAUUCCCUGGUAAUUUAUCGUCUUCUACUUUGUUCCCAGCGUAUUUUUCAUCUCCAACUUGCUCACAUUUUUAAAUAGUUUACUUGGGAGUUUUGCCUAACCUGUGGUUUUUAUUGCCCCCUCUUUACUCCUGUUUGUCCUAUGCUAUGAUGACCUUCCCCUUACAUAUGAAUUAUUCGUGAUGCACACUGGUCCUGGAGGUGCUUUGUGGUGCUAGCUUCAUAAUGGACCAACUAAUCUGUUUCUUCACCCGUAAAGGGCGCCUUUUUCUGUAGGCAACCAGUCCCUCUUAUUUAGGGUGUGAAUACUUUCGGUGUGCUAAAUCCCCAGUACUAAGUGUGCAGUGUGCGGCGCCAAUCCGGUAAUGUUGGAUGAUGGGGAGUAGUCUGAGCAAAAUAUGCUUAUUUUCACUAUUCGGCUUUCCUUGAUUGCCUUCUCUAUAUAUUUAUGAAUAGUUUUAUUUCAUUUCUAUUAAGAUUUGAUUAACCAGUUGCUCUUGCUCACAUUUNCUAUUCGGCUUUCCUUGAUUGCCUUCUCUAUAUAUUUAUGAAUAGUUUUAUUUCAUUUCUAUUAAGAUUUGAUUAACCAGUUGCUCUUGCUCACAUUUUUAUAUAGUUUACUUGGGAGUUUUGUCUUACCUAUGGUUUUUAUUGCUCCUCCUCUUGCUUUUAGUCCAGCCCUUAUAUUUUCCUGAGUUUCUCUUUACUCCUUUUUCGUCUAUGCUAUGAUGAGCUUCUCCUUACAUAUUAAUUGUUCGUGAUGCACACUGGUCCUGGAGGUGCUUUGUGUGAUUUGCUUCAUAAUGUCCCAACGAAUCUGUUUCUUCACCUGUAAAGGCCGUUUUUUUGAUGGCCUUUUUCUCUGGGUCUUAUUUAGGCUGUGGAUACUUUCGGUGUGCAUGUCGAUUGUAGUUAAAUCCCCAGUACUAAGUGUGCGGUGUGUGGCGCCAGGCCGAUGAUUUCGGAUGAUGAGGAGCAGUCUGAGCAAAAUAUGGUUAUUUCCACUAUUUGGCUUACCUUGAUUGCCUUCUCUAUAUAUUUAUGAAUAGUUUUGACUCAUUUCUAUUAAGGUUUGAUUAACCAGUUGCUCUUAUUUACCCCAAGGGAGUUUUUGCUGUCCAUGCAGGGAGUGCGCCAGUUAGCAAUGUGAAUCCAGCGGCAUUUGUUGUUUCUUGGGUAAUAUCCCAUAACCAUAUGGGUUUGAGCAAACUAUAUCUUUUUCGCCUUUUAGUUUGUCCUUCUUUUAAUUUACUCUUAUCUGCCGAAUCCUUAGUUAUCAAUUUGUUCUUCGUUUUGCGUUACCCUUUUUUAUAUUGUGCUUUGGAUGUAUCUUAUACGUCCUCACUUUUCCCUCGAGCCUUCGGCUCUAACUUUUCUGUUCCACGGGAUGGUGUCCUGUUCCUCGCAAGCCCUUGAGCUCUAUUGCAGAUUAUUGCUGUUUACACUCCCCUGCUUCAAGGGUAUUGCUGAAAUGGGAGCCUCUUGAGUGAUCGAAACCCGAGUCUUCUUGGUUGCCUAUAGGGGGGUUUACGAUUACGGGUUUCUCCGCUAAUAAUGAGGGGCCUUUCGGUGGUUUACUUCGGAGCCAACUAAUUCGUCUAUUUCUUCACUGGUCGGGGGUCCUAGGCAACCAGUCCCUCUUAUUUGGACUAGGCAUGUUUUUUGUAUGCAAGUCCAUUGUAACUCAAUCACAAGUACUGAUCAUCCAAGUUUCGCCGCCAAUCUAAUAGUGUUCGAUGCCUAGGAGGAGUCUGAGCAACUUUUUUAAAUCCCGCGCUAUUCGGUUUUCCUUAGUUGGCUUCUAUGUACAUAUUACAGAGCUUUUAGCCUAUAUUUGGAAUAUUACCUUUAUAUUUUGCCUUCACUUUGCAUAAAAUACCUUUUAUUCAGUAUGCGCCGCUUGAGUUUUAUGUACAUUAAUGCUUUCCCCUGAUUUGUUUGGGCUUCAGUGCCGUUUUCUUUGGUAGUCUUUCUUUGGUUUUUUCCCCCUCUUUACCAUCACGAGUCUUUUGCCCUGCAUUCUCUUUAUUGGGUUAAUGUGUUAUCAUAAGCCUGCGUAAAUUUGCAGCUGGGAUUUCCCCGUUCAGAUUUGCAAAACAGUUUGCACAGCAUCUGUCACGCCCCGCCCCGAAUCCACUCCCAAUUUGGCACGGUUCGGGCACAUCAGACGGACCGCCGAACGGACAGUACCUCUCCUGUCCGCCCAAGGCCAAGCAACCAGAUCAUGUACAAUUAAGCACCCAGGAAUUUGCUUAAAUAACAUACAUGAUCAAAUACGAUGCACACAAGUGCAAUACAACUAAGAGCAAGAACCACAAGUGAUAGACAAGUGUAUAAAGAGAGAUAGUCUAACUAUCACAAUCAUUCAACAUUUACAUUAUUGAAUAUAUUAUAUUUUCAUCUUCCAAAAUGUAAGUACAUGUUUUCUUCAAAAUACAAGUAGCUCUCUGAUAUCUAUCCAAAAUAUCNNNNNNNNNNNNNNNAAAGAAAAGGCUCAAGUCCCCUAUAUAUAUAUAUAGGAAACUUGGCCUCCAAGUUUCAUAGGAAACUUGGUCUCCCAGUGUCAUAAGAAACUUAGCCUCCAAGUUUCAUAGGAAACUUGGCCUCCAAGUUAUCUAGGAAACUUGGCCUCCAAGUUAUCUAGGAAACUUGGCCUCCAAGUUAUCCAAGAACACUAUUCACAUACAGUUUAGCAGCACGGUACAGAUAUUAUUCGUCUGUCCUGUCUCUCACAGAAAAUUCUAAAUCUUCUGUUUUCGCUUCCAUUUCAACACGGGUCACUCUAGACUUAUAAUUUACUUCUAUAAAUCCAAUAAAAAUAGUAUCUCAUACUAUUUUUAUUUAUUUCCAUUUUUAUAUUUAAAAUCCGGUACCUUACAGCAUCACUUUCCUGUUUUCGUAUGUGCAAAAUCGUGCCUGCUUUUUCCUGGAAAUAGUCAGCUUUGUUUUGAGAGUGUAAUAACUUCGGGUUUUUUCAUCCUAUGCUAUGAUGCAUCGCCCCUUCAAUGUCGGAUCGUAGCAGUUAUUAAGAGUUGCACCAUUCCGAUUCUCGCGGGUGUUCUAGGCUGGUGAUGGGAUCAUUUGCAAUGGCUUACUUCGCAGUAAACCAGUUGCUCUUAUUUACUCCACGGAUCUUUUUCCUGUCCAUGCGGGGAGUGGGUCAGUGGGCAGUGUGAAUCCGGUGGCCUUCGUUGUUGGUUCAGUAAUAUCCAAUAGUCAUAUAAGCCUGAGCAAACUAUAUCUAUUUUUACUUUCAGUUUCUGCUUCCUUUAAUUUACUCUUAUCUGCUGAAUUUUUGGUUGCCGAUUUGUCAUUUGUUUUGCGUUCCCCUUUUUUAUAUUGGGCUUUGGGUGUAUUUUAUAUGCGCUUACUUUUUCCUCGAGGUUUCAGGAAAAAUGUGAGAAAUGGAAAUUUACCGUGCAAUUUCUUAAAACUGAUUCCUGAGUUUUGAAAAUUUUGUUUCCUGGGGUACCUUCAGCUAUUGGCGUUCCUGAAAUGUCUGUAUCAAUUUUGGGUUGUCCUAAUUUUUGUGGAAUUCCUGGAAAUUUAGUUUUUUUUUUUUUUUUUGAAUGAAGAUUGGAGACUUGGAAAUUCCGUUUUUUUUGGGGACAAAAAAAAUAUAGAGGACUGUCUUCUAUAUAAUUAUUUGAAGUUGGCUAAAAAUUGUGAUAGCAGCGCAGUUUGAAAUGAAUACCUGAAUCCUUUUUCUUUUAGAAAAUUCCAGUAGGAAUUUAAUAGUUUAUGUCGAGUGAAUUAUAGAGUAUUCCACUAAGUGAUAACAUAUUCUAUUAGGUUGCAAACUAUUCCGUCACAAAAGUUAAAAUGCUGUUGGAUUCUAACUAUAUUCUACAAACAAAUUGAUUACAUUUACAGUUGUGCCAAGUUCACUCUAGGCAUGUAGAAAAACUAAUUGACUUAAUAUUUGCGGCACAUGUUUGUCUAAGUAGAUGUAAUCUGUAAGAGCCUUUUUAUUUGGCUUCUUAUUAAGGAUCAUGGAUCUGUAUUCUAGAAGCCUAUUGAUGAAAUUUAGUAUGUGGGCUAUUACACUUUGGUUUGUUGUUCAUCCUACCUGUUUCCUCUCUUUUUUUGUCUUUUAAUUUAAAAAUAUAAACAAAACCUUCUUGAUUAAUGUGUAGAAUCAAACUUAUUGUGCUUAUCACCUGUAAAUGCUCAAAUUGACUGCUCUUUCCCUCUUAGCUUUCACCUUCUCGAACUUCUGUACCCGAUUAUUUAUUGCAACUGCAAGUUUGAUUUAUUAAACUCCUCUUUGUGCUUAUAACCUGUUUGAUUUCCUUUUUUGUGUGUGUGUGUGUGUCUAGCUGUGGUGUUCUAAUGCAACUGUGCAUAGAAAAGUUAGUGCCUUACAUUGUAACUGCAAGUUUGAUUUAUUAAACUCCUCUUUGUGCUUAUAACCUAUUUGAUUUCCUUUUUUUUUGUGUGUGUGUGUGUCUGUGGUGUUCUAAUGCAACUGUGCAUAGAAAGCUUAGUGCCUUAGCACAUGUCGAUGUAAUGUUGCAUGAAUUAGAAUAUCUUUCUUGCUCUUCUUUAAGGCUAUGAUGAUAAUAAGCAAAGGGAAGUGCCGAAAAUAUUGCCUUCGAACGAGUCGGGGUUUGGACGGAGUGGAAGUUUGGACGUCCUACUCAUCGGCAAGCGCUUCUUGCGAUUGUUACUCUUAGUGAUAGCUCACAUUUCCCUUCAAUGUUAAUCUACUGCGCAGCAGCCAUUUCCUACCGUUCUUACCCUUUGUUGUUGCGCACUUCUGCUUCCUACAGCCCGCUGCUAUCCCUACUGCUACCCUGUACUUAUGAGCAGUGUUGCUCAGCCUCCUUAACUGAGCGAUUUUUCAUGAACCAUUAUAUUAUAAUUUAUAAUGUAAUGGCGAAACCCCCUCCUAAUGUUUGAUGAUUGGGGAAGUCUGGGCAAAAUAUAUUAUAUUUAUUUUCGCAACUCGAUUUUUAUUACCUCCCUUCUGUAUAUAUAUAUAUAUAUAUAGCCUCAUUCGUGUAUCAGGUGGUGUUCUAUGCUUUUUGCUGUAAUUUCUAAAGUUGUAGGUUUCGUCAUAUUGCUUAUUCUAGGUUCAACUUAGCUAAAGCAAACUUCCUUGCACUUUGUAUUGUAUAUUUUCUAGAUGUAAUGGAAGUUAUUGCAUGAGUUAUUACACGAGCUAGAUCGUCAAGGAGAUUAGCAGAGACUCUUUCAACACCUGAUGAUAAAAAAAUUGAAUAAAAUAAAAUUAGAAUCUAAAUAAAGAUUAGUUCUCUUUUAAAUUUCUCUCUAAAAAUGUUCAUUCUGUAUGAACACUAGAGGAGGUGGUAUAUAGGGGUUUGUAAAGAGAACGAUAGAGGCAUGACGUUCCACAUCUUGAAUCCAUAUGUUCCAACCUAUUAAUUGGAAUAUUAAAUAAUAAUAAUAAAUACUAAUAAACGAGAAUAAAAAAGUUAAUAAAUAAAAUAAAUAAAAUAAUAAUAAUUAGGAAAUUUUGGAUUUUUUCUCCAACAAUUUUCCACAAAGAAACAAAAUUUCAAAAAAAAAAUAAACAAAGUAAAAUGGAAAUAAAAAAUUAAACAAUAAAAAAAAGGAAAUCAAUUAAUCAAUCACAAGGUGUUUAUACUAUGCAAUAUUUCUUUAAGAGACUUAACCUUACUUAGUGCAACCAGUUUUCAUCAGAAGGAAUCAGAGUGAAUCAGAUCUUGAACUACAUUUCUUUGUACCUAGCUUCAUCCACCGCACACACAGUACAGAAUAUAGUCCUAUAUUUACAAUUUCUACAUAUUUUCGGAAACAGUUUUUUUUGCUCGGCUUUCGAUUAGUUUUACCAGCUUUUCUUCAUUGAUACAGUUCAAUCUAUUUUUGUAUGUUUUCAGCAGGUCUUUAAUAGUUGUUUGCCAUUGCCAUCUGCGCGGUACAGUAAAACUUUCCGGCCGCGGCUCCUAUAUGGUUUGGCUUCAAAUUUCUACUCUGCUCAAAUUUUUACUUAUAGAUCCUGUUGCAUUACCUAAGUCAAAUUCUACAUGUAUAUAUAUAUAUCAAGAAUUUUGAUGUUUCAAAUUAAGUUCUAUUACCUAAGAUAAUUAGGCUAAAGUUCAGUUCCUACAAAAAAAAAUGCAAUCUAAUAGGAUAUUGUUUUCUGUUUAUUCUCGGGUUUUGUGGGUUUGAGCUAGAACUUGAGUAGGAAUGAAAUUUGUAUUGGCAAACCCUUUUGUCAAUGGCAAAGAUAGAUGUGGUGCCGUAGUCGUUGACUCCGCCUCUGAUGCCUCUCUCUCUCUCUACCUCUCUACCGGGUUGACCAAAGGGUCCUCCCAGAACUGUUCACUCCGCUUUGUCCCUUAUAUAUUUAAUGGAAUACUUCACCAAACUCGACCUUCGCUCUGGGUAUUAUCAAGUACGGAUUGCGGAAGGAGACGAGGAGAAGACCACGUGCGUGACGAGGUACGGGGCCUAUGAGUUCCUUGUCAUGCCGUUCGGCUUGACGAACGCGCCGGCAACCUUCUGCACACUUAUGAACAAGCUGUUCCAUCCCUAUCUCGAUCGCUUUGUGGUGGUGUAUCUCGACGACAUCAUGGUAUACAGCAAUACCUUGGAGGAGCACAUCGAACACUUGCGAACUGUCUUCCAAGUGCUGCGGGAGAACCAGCUGUUCGUCAAGAAGGAGAAGUGCAUAUUCGCGAAGGAAGAGGUGCACUUCCUUGGCCACUGGAUAGGCCAGGGCCUGAUUCGCAUGGACCAGCGAAAGGUGCGAGCCAUCUGCGAAUGGGAGACCCCAACGACAGUGUCCGAGUUGCGGUCUUUCCUUGGGCUCGUCAACUACUACCGCCGAUUCAUUGCUGGCUACUCUGCGAGAGCAGCCUCGUUGACGGAUCUGCUGAAGAAAAACCACUCGUGGGUUUGGACCUCUCAAUGCGCGGAGGCAUUCGAGGACCUAAAGCGAGCGGUGACAGAGGAUCCAGUGCUGCGACUACCCGACUGCAGUCGCACCUUUGGGGUACAUACUGAUGCCUCUGAUUUUGCCAUUGGCGGUGUCCUCGUGCAGGAUGGGCACCCCAUCGCCUAUGAGAGCCGCAAGCUCAACGACAUCGAGCGGCGUUACACCGUCCAGGAGAAGGAAAUGACCGCUGUGGUGCAUUGCUUGCGAACCUGGCGGCACUAUUUGCUUGGGAGCAAGUUUGUGGUGCGCACCGACAACGUUGCCACGAGCUACUUCCAAUCGCAAAAGAAGCUGUCGCCUAAGCAGGCGAGGUGGCAAGACUUCUUGGCGGAGUUUGACAUGGAGAUGCAAUACAAGCCCGGGAAGGAAAACCGCGUGGCUGAUGCUCUCAGCCGCAAGGCUGAGCUUGCAGCCGUGUGGCAGCUUCAAGGGACGCUCCGCGAUCGACUUCGUUCAGGAACCAAUGAGGACCCUAUCGCUCAAAAUCUGGUGCAGCUUGUCAAGGAGGGCAAAACGCGAAGGUUUUGGCUGAGCGACGGGCUGCUCCUCACCAAGGGGCGACGGGUGUACGUGCCCAAGUGGGGCAACCUUCGCCGCGAGCUCAUCAAGGAGUGCCAUGACUCCAAGUGGGCGGGCCACCCAGGUCAGAAGCGAACCCUGGCGUUGCUCGAGGCCGCCUACUUUUGGCCGCGGAUGCACGAAGACGUGGAGGCCUACGUGCGAACCUGCUUGGUGUGUCAACAAGACAAAGUUGAGCACCAGCGACCUGGCGGACUCCUCGAGCCUUUACCUGUGCCUAGCCGUCCGUGGGAGAGCAUUUCGAUGGACUUCAUCUCCGCCUUACCAAAGGUGGGGGUGCUUGGGUCCAUUCUGGUGGUGGUUGAUCGUUUUUCCAAGUACGGGACCUUCAUUGCUGCGCCGGCCGAUUGCACGGCUGAAGAAGCGGCACGCCUCUUCGUCAGCCACAUCGUCAAGCUUUGGGGGAUCCCCACGAGCAUCGUGAGCGACCGCGACCCCAGGUUCACUGGCAAGUUUUGGACCGAGGUGUUCAAAAUCUUGGGGUCGGAGUUGCUCUUCUCCACCAGUUGGCAUCCACAGACCGACGGGCAAACUGAGCGGGUGAACGCUCUGUUGGAGGAGUAUUUGCGGCACUAUGUGAGUGCCAAUCAGAAGGAUUGGGUGCAUCAUCUCGAUGUCGCCCAGUUUGCUUACAAUUUGCGGCGCAGCGAGUCUACAGGCUGCAGCCCCUUCGAGUUGGCGAUCGGGCGACAACCACUUGCCCCUCACACGGCUGCUGCGGGAGAGCAGUUCCGCAGCCCAGUUGCUCUUCAGUUUACCACUAACUUGCAGGAAAAGGGUGAAAUUGCAAGGGCGAACUUGGAGAAAGCAGCACGACGGAUGAAGAAGUGGGCUGACGAAAAGCGACAGCCUCGGGAGUUUGCCGAGGGCGACCGCGUGAUGGUCAAGCUUCAUCCGCAGCAGUUCAAAGCCUUGCGGAAGGUGCACAAGGGACUGCUGCGCAAGUACGAAGGCCCAUAUACCGUCGUCAAGCGUGUGGGCAAGGGGGCCUACAAGCUGCAGCUGCCCGCAAACCUCAGGAUCCACCCUGUUUUUCAUGUCAGCAGGUUGAAGCUGUAUAACGAAGACGCGGAGGAUCCAAGCAGAGGAGUGUCGCAGCGAGCGCCUCCGACCAUGGUGACUUCGUUCGACAAAGAAGCGGAGUCCAUCCUGGACACUCGACUCAUUCGGCGACGUGGGGUCGUGCCGAAUCCUGAGUACUUGGUGAAGUGGAAGAAUCUCCCAUUUGGCGAGGCGAGUUGGGAGAAGGCGGACACACUUUGGCAGUACCAAGCGCUCAUCGACGAGUUCCAGAAGCAGCGCGCGACGAGGACGCCUGCGCAUUAGGUGGAGGAGGGUGUCAGGGACUUAGAAAAAUUUCUAUGCAGCCCGGUCCCUGGCCCAAAUCUACUUAGCGAGUUCGGGUUGAAGAUGGGUCGAAUCGGGUUGGCAAGUAGACCCAAACCCAACCCGCUAUGGGAAACUCAAGGGUUAUGAAACUUAUGGGAGUUAUGGGUGACUCUUGAGCUUUUGGCAUUUAUGAGGGCUCAUUAUGUGGGUUCAUUAUGUAUGUAGUGGGUGAGUUGAAAAGGCACCUUUAGGCCUAUAAAUAGUGGGGUUGGCUAAGGCCAUGACACACAAGAGGGAGUUUGUGUGUGUGUGUUGUAAUCUCUUUUCUAAGUAGUGGAGUACUUAGUUUUUGAGUGAACCUCUACAUCUCUCUCUUUGUCAUUCCCUUUGCAUAUUUAGUCGUAGGACGCGAAGGUCCGGACUAGCAAUAGGGACGAAGGCUUGCCCAUCUUCGAGCAGGAAGGCGGGCGCCGCACGGGCUUUGCGAACAAAAACGCUAAGUCCGUGACAAGCAGCUUAGUUAGCGUACAGAUAAUUUUAAGUUAUAGUUUUCUAAAUCUGUUUUUUGGAUACGCCCGUAGCAUGGGUUCUGCUAAGUGUGAAUAUAUAAAAUUUGUUCGACCAUAUAGCGUGUGUACUGCAACAUAUUGGAGUGGCGCCUUGGGACGAAGCUUACCUACUAGAUUUGUUAGGCUGCGUCCCGAUAUGGUGUGGUACAUACCCUACAUUAUUGAACAUGUUUUAAUAUAUUUAUGAUUACUAAAAUCUGUGCUUCUGUUGUAUUUAGAAAACUCGAAUUGGUUAAUUAUAAGUUAGAUUUAGCUGUAUGUUAGCUAAAUAGUUGCUUUCCAACACUAAAUAAUUCUACUAUAUAUCUUCGCAAAUUUAUCGUAGUAUACCCGUGUUACCUCUAUCCUGGCAGUAAGUGUUGGUAGAGAAAAAAAAAAUUUUGGGGGAUUCAAUUUGCAACUGGGAUUUUCUCAGAUAGGUAAGAUAGGUGCAUAUUUCUCACUGUGUGGAUAGUGUGAGCAUUUACAUAAAAUACUUAUAGAAAAAAUGUUCGAGUACGCUUGAUGCCCAAUUUAUAAAAAAACUAUACUUUCCUUUACAACCCCACAGUUUAUAGCCUGGUUUAACUUAAAAGUUUUUUGUAAAUUAGUUUUUUGUCAACAUUAGGCUAAUGCUUUCUAAAAUACUAAGCGUUAAACAGUGGAAGGCAAAAUAAAAAAAUAAUUUUACAUAUUAAGAGUUAGUAAAAAAUAAACUCUUAAGUCAUAUAAUAUAUAUUUUAUUACAAUAUUAGUAAUAUAUAUUCGCAUAAUUAAGCAAUUUAAUAAAUAAAAAAAUAUUUAUAAAUUUAUGAGGAAAAAAACAAGCGGUUUCCUCGCAAAGGUUUUAUUAUAUAAUAAAUUGUGUAUUUUGAUGCUGAAUCAAUUUUAUGUUUAUAUUAUAUUAUGUAUUCGUUAUUUUGGGCACUAAAUCAUUCUACUAUCUUUGUUAAAUUUUUAAUCCUGGAAUAAGUGUGUUGUUACUGCUUUGUCAGCAAAUUGGUGUGUCUGUUAUGAAAUGUAUAAUUCACAGCCAUUUUUCUAUAAGAAAUCCUACCACUAGGUCUGUUAUUAACCAUGUAACUAGGUCUGUUAUUAACCAUGUAAUGUUACUUUUUCAUCUGUGUAAUUCUCAAGCGUAUUUUGCCUCACGAGCCUACGGUGGAGAAUUGAGCUAAAAAAUUAGGUGGUUGCGUCGUAAUAUGCCUAUGCUGCCUGAGCCUUCAUAUUUUAAUAAUAUAAUAAUUUUAGAAAUAAUAAUUCAAACGCCGUUUUAUCUUACUUCUUCGCGUUUUGCCUUCUCUAAACAUUGCCUUAUAUUUGACCCUCCUUUAAAAAAUAGAUGUGAAAUUGUAUACUUUCACAAUUAACCAAAUUUACAUUUAGAUGUUGUUUCCAUAAAUGCUAACAGCCAAUAAAUAUAUUAGUUCUAUUAAAUUCUUUGGUGCCAAAUAAUAUUGUCGUUCCUGCUUCAGCAGCAAGCAAAUUUUCUAAUUUACAUAUAUUAAUAAUUGGAAUUAUUGUAUUUUAUUUGGCGCAUAUGUUAUCUUUUUUCGGGAAACUUUUCUCUCUCCUUUUUAGAGCUGGGUUGAUACUUAGUUAACUUCGGUUGUUAUAUUUUCUUUUGCUUUUCCCCAGCCUUACUUACGGGCCGCAUUGGAAUUAUUGUAUUUUAUUUUGUUCAUAUAUUAUCUUUUUCCAGCGAUUUUUUCUCUCAUUUUUAGGAUUGGGUUGAUACUUAGUUGACUUCGGAAUUUCCGGUUGUUAUAUUUUCUUUUACCUUCUCCCGGCCUUACUUCUGGGGCGAUAAAAUAAACAUAGAAAACAUAUAGUUAAGCUUACCUUCUAUAAUAAAAAAAAUGUCGCAUGUGUUUCUUAUCUCCGGAAAACUUUUCUCUCUCCUUUUUAGAGCUGGGUUGAUACUUAGUUAACUUCGGUUGUUAUAUUUUCUUUUGCUUUUCCCCAGCCUUACUUACGGGCCACAUCGGAAUUAUUGUAUUUUAUUUCGCUCAUAUAUUAUCUUUUUCCAGCGAUUUUUUCUCUCUCCUUUUUAGGGUUGGGUUGAUACUCAGCUGAGUUCGGAAUUUCCAGUUGUUAUAUUUUCUUUACCUUCUCCCGGCCUUACUUCUGGGCCGAUAAAAUAAAUAUAGAAAACAUAUAGUUAAGCUUACCUUCUAUAAUAAAAAAAAUGUCGCAUGCGUUUCUUAUCUCCGGGAAGCUUUUCUCUAUCAUUUUUAGGAGUGUGCUUAAUUAACUUCAGAAUUUCUGGUUGCUAUAUUUUCUUUUACCUUUUCCCAGUAUUAGUUAUAGGCCGGUAAAAUAAACGUAGGAAACAUAUAGUUAAACUGACAACCUAUUAUAAAAAAAGGGUUUUACGUUACCUAUUUGUUGUUUUUUGCUAAUUAGUAUAUCUUAGAUUUGCAUAAUGCAUUUACAAUUUUCAACGCUAAAUAAUUCUGAUGUCUUUAUUUGUUUUAUUUUUUUAAUGGGGAAUAUAGCGUCGCUUUUUUUGAUAUCAAGCAAUACUUACUUUUGUAGGGUAUGUGGUUUUCAUGAAUUUUGUUUCCCAAAACAAAUAACAUAAAAAAAGUAUUUUCGUAUCUCCCGUAAAUUUUUCAGUAGUAAAUAAUUUGAUUGGAUCUAUUUCUGCAAGAAUUAUUUGUAUUUGUUAUUUGUUAUAUUUUUAUUAUAUUGUAUUAUUAUAUUGUAUAUUCAAAUAAUACAGUUAUAAUGUUCAUCACCGAAUAAUUCUAUUACCUCUAUCAUGUUUUACAAUGUUAAACAAUUACGCUGUUUCUACUUUGACAGCAAGCAGCUCCAACUGUUAUAAACUGGCCGGUUCUCAAGCAGCCUGUUAUGAAUUGCCUCAUUCCUAAGUUGUCUUUCCUUUCAUGAUCAGCUCUAUCGGUGAGUCAUUUAUUUAUAAACUUUAAACUCUUGGGUUUUGCAGCCUCUAAUUUUUUUGGCGCUUUUCCUCCAACCCUUUAGUAUUACUACAAUUACGCUGUUUCUACUUUGCCAUCAAGCAGCUCCAGUUGUUAUAAACUAGCUAGCUGGCCGGUUCUCAAGCAGCUUCACCUGUGAUGAAUUGGCUCAUUCCUAAGUUGUCCUUUCUUUCAUAACCAACCCUAUUGGUGAGUCAUUUAUUUAUAAACUUUAAACUCUUGGGUUUUGCAGGCCUUAAUUUUUUUGGCGCUUUUCCUCUCCGUCCUUUAGCAUUACUAUUUGCGCAACCUAUGUUUUCUACAUGCCUUUACACCGUUAACCACACAGCUUUUCUUCCCCUCUUUAAUUUGCAAAUAAAUUGUUAUAAAUUAUUUGCAUGUCCGUUACAUGUUGGAUGCAUAGAUUAUAUCUUGAUUUUUUUGGACACUAUUAUACUGUGUGUUUAGAUGAUGCACUCAUAAUGUGCAGCACCGGGUAAUUCUAUUAUCUCUUCCAAGUUUUUUAGUAUUAAACAAUUAUGCCGUGUUUUCAGUUUACACUUUAAAGUUUAAUAAUGAAUGGGUUAUGAUUUAGAUAUUUAAUAUAAGUCUUUUAUCUUUUUUACUUUCGCCCAGAAUCUAGCAGAUAUCUAGAUGUAAUUCAUGAGGCAUCAUUUUUAAUCCGAACCCUUUACAUAUCUAGAUGUAACGCAUUUUUUAAAAUUCCUUAGGAAAUGGAAAGAGUUGGACGGUAAGGUUAUUGGUAAAUGUUUUACACUUUAAAGCUUAAUAAUUAAUAAUUAAUAAUAAUUAAUGGGUUACAAUUUGGACUUUUAAUAUAAGUCUUUUAUCUUUUAUGGUAUCGCCCGGAUUCUAUCGGAUAUCUAGAUGUAGUUCAUGAGCCGACAUUUUUAAUUCGAGUCUUUUACAUAAAUCUUAUAUACAUCAAAUAUAACACAUUUUUUUCCGGCGUUACUUUGGAAAGGGGAGGGGUUAUUUGGUGAGUGGACGUUAAAUAUUACAUCAGAUAUCGCCCAGUUCUUUGUCGGUAAAUUUUCUUUAUAAAUUUAAGUUUUUCAUAGACCGUCGAAAAUGAUUCAAUAAAGUUGGUGGUAAAAUUUAAGCGUAUGGCCAGUUACACUGGUACUAUAGUUGUCGAUUUGCUAACAAAGAGUUAAAUAUUAUAUCGAAUAUCACACGGUUCUUGGUUGGUGAAUUUUAUUUAUAAAUUUAAUAAGGGGAAAAAAUUUAGUUGUUAUUUUAGGAUAAUUCAAAAAACAGGGGAAAAACAAAAAAGAAAAUUGGUGGGUGGGAUAGGAGAGAGAUUGAGGAUAAGGGAAAAGGAAAAGCAGGUUCGCCUCGAGCCCUGCAAAUGCAGCGAGGCUUCAAAGUAUGUAAAUUUAAAAAUGUUUCUUGAACGAAUAAAUAGAUAUUUUUCGUUUAGAAUUCAAAAUUAAUAUACAUUUGAAAACCUUUGAUUCAUCUUAACUUUUUUCCCUAUUCGGGAGAGGCCAAAAUUCGAAAUACUUUUUCCGGCUAACUUUAAGAGCAGAUAAGUUUGCCAGUAAUAGCUGAGCGGUAUAUUUGAAAGAACAAAAUAGUGAAUUAUUAUAGGGAACCGAAUUGACUAACAGCUUUUAACUCUAGAGGUUUAUUGGAAAAAUAGGUUUGAGCAUAGAAAACUGUUAGAGCCAAUUGUAAAUGAAUCUAAUCCAAAUAUGAGUCAAAGGAAUAGUGAAUUUAGCUAAAGAUGCGCAAUUUGAAUUGAAAACAAAAAAAAGAGCUUAAAUUCCAUCUGAACAUUUAAAUUUGUAAUUAGAACUCAAAUUCCAAAUUAAAUCAUUAUUGAAAUUAAAUGUUAAUAGAAAAUUUAUAUUUGAAUUGGCAUUCCAACUUAAAAUUUAAAUUUAAAAUUCGAAUUCCACUUAACAAAUUGAAUUUGUAGUUGGGACCAUUUGAGUUCAGCAUUCAAUUUGAUGUUCUUAGCUGUAGUUUCUUCUCGAGCAGACGUGGGCGCACGAGGGUCGAGCGGUCGCCGGGCGCAAGUCGCGUACACAUAAGGGAGAGAGAGGAAGAGAGAGAGGGAAAGAGGGGGGGGGGGGACAGAGAAAUGUUAGUUGAAAAACAUCUAAAAAGCAUCAAGUAGCAAUUGUGUAGUUCAUCGUGUAGUUCUCUUCUCUGGGUUAUUUGGUCACUUCAAAAUGUUAUUCAGCUAUUGGUAAAGUUCUCCAACAGUUUCGGUUUUUGCGUCCUACAAGUUUCUCAAAGGAAACUUUUAUUCAAGUCAAUGGGUUGAGCGUUGUUUUCCAAGCUUUUUCGAUAGGUUUCCUACUGGUGGAAAUGAUCAACAAUCAAAUCUAGAAAUCGCAACAUGUAUAGGAAUUCCCACAGUUCAUCUGUUCCAAAAGUAACGCAUCUGCCCGCCUCCUUUCCCUGCCGGUUUACUGUCUCCUGUGAUUCCGCAAAGCCUGCAGGUCUGUCACCUUUCCUGUUACCUGUGGCCCCGCAAAGCUUGCAGGGCUCGGGGAGUUGCCGCAUUAUGCCGUGUCCCCCCCAACCACCACCCGCCUGUUCCUGCAAUCGCAGGUCCCGUNGCCGCUGAGCGCAGAGGGUUGUCGCCUUGUGGAUCUGUAGAUUCUGUAGGUAUCAGUAAAGACGCUCGAGUAAGAUUUUCGGCCUACACCUUUCUCGCGCAGGAGACUUUUAUUCAAGCCAACCGAUCGAGCACUGUUUUCCAACCUUUUUCAAUAGGUUUCCUACUGGUGGAAAUGAGUAACAAUCAGAUUCAGAGAUCACAACAUGUAUAGGAAUUCCCACAAUUCACCUGUUCCAAAAGUAAAAUAUCUGCCCGCCUCCUUUCCCUAUCGGUUUCCUUUCCCCUGUGGUUCUGCAGAGCCCGCAGGUUUGUCACCCUUCCUGUUACCUGUGGCCCCGCAAAGCUUGCUGGGCUCGGGGAUUUGCCGCAUUAUGCCGUGUCCCCCCCAACCACCACCCGCCUGUUCCUGCAAUCGCAGGUCCCGUUGAGUGCGAAGGGUUGUCGCCCUGUCGAUCUGUAGAUACUGCAAGUAUCGCGCUCUCUUUGAUCCCGCUUCUCAUCUUUCGCCGAUCAGUAAGCGCGCUCGAGUGAGAUGGCUAGGAUUUUUAAUUCCAAUAUGAGGGUCACUGAGAUGUUGACGGGAUGAGGUUAAGUAUGAAGGUCGUUAAUCAACUACACCGGUGCUAUAGUUUUGGAUUUCUUAGACAUAACUUUGUGUACACAUUAGUAUGUUUCAUGCAAAAAAUAGUUCCGAUAAUUCAGAAAUCAUAUUCAAGAAUACAAGGUUUAUAGUAUUUCAAUCAAGGUGUACGAUUAAGAACAACUGAAUUUUAUGAGGAGUGGAAUUCUCCCAUUUGGGAUGCACAGCAAAAAGAACAUAGGCUGCUUUGCCCUUCUAUUGGUUUCAUGCUUUCAGGUAUAAAUUCUACCAAGCUUAGGUUGUUUCAUGCAGAAACUUACAUGUCUAGAAGUUGAACCAGUUGAUCAGCGUGGAAUUAUAGAAAUUCGCCGCAUGUAUUGAUACUACUUUGCUUUAUACAUUAGUUUACAGUGAUUACAAAUGCAUACUUUUCCCACUCUCACCUCUUGAUAGUUGUUAAAUUCUUAUUUAUUUACAACAGGCAUCGAUUUUGGUUCUUGCAUUCACGUAACGUUGUAAAUUUCGCUUCGUUCUUAAAUGGAUACUGCAUCAAUUAGCCGGGAGAAUAGGAAACGGCGGAAAGUUAUUCUUAGUCGCCGGAGAAAUAAGGGAGUUAUUCAAUCUCUUGAAUAUACGCAGCCAACAAAUAUAGACUCAACUUUCAUAGACUCUACAAUUGGCCGGUUCCUCAUCUAAUUCUGCCGCAUUUUUCUAAUCAAUCGUAUCUUGGUUUACCGCAAUAUGAGUGCCAAUCAUGCGGAGCAUUACUUUGGUAUAAUGAGAGAAUUUAUAAAUCUCGGAACGAACAAGUACCGAGGUUUUCGAUGUGCUGCGAAGAAGGCCGUGUCUAUGUGUCGUUGCUGCGUGAAACACCUCAUACAUUAGAAAUUUUGUUGGAUUACCGAGUGGGGGGAUUGUCUAGAAAAUUUAGAGACAAUAUCAGAGCGUACAAUUCUAUGUUCGCAUUUACCUCAAUAGGCGCCAAAGUUGAUACAGAAAUUAAUAAGAGACCAGGUCCAUAUGUAUUUAGAAUUAAUGGCCAAAAUCAUCAUAUUAUGGGUUCUCUUCUUCCAGCUGAUGGACAUCGUCCUAAAUUUGCUCAACUUUAUAUUUAUGAUACUGAGAAUGAGAUCUCCAAUAGAAUACGAGCACUUGGCAUUGACGAUGGCGUUGAGAAAAUUAGUAGGAACAUUGUGACUGAUUUAAUUAAAAUGUUUGAUGACCAAAAUACAAUUGUUAAAGCAUUUAGAAUGGCACGAGAUUAUUUUGUACAUAAUGAUUUUAUGCCCAUGAGGUUGCGAUUAAUUGGAGCACGUGGGGAAGUCUUGCAGCAAUAUAAUUCUCCUUCAUGCGCUGAAAUUGUUGGUCUGAUAGUUGGUGACUUAGGCAGUGUAGAUCGGCAACGUGAUAUUAUUGUUGAGCAUAAAACAGAAGGCUUAAAACGAAUUAGUGAUUUGCAUCCUUCUUUUAUGGCUAUGCAAUAUCCUAUUUUAUUUCCCUAUGGUGAAGAUGGUUUUAGGCUUGGCAUACGAUGCAGGCAGACAUCCCGCAGGAAAACAAAUUCUCGGCAAUGUGUUACAAUGCGUGAGUUCUAUGCUUAUCGAAUCCAAAAUAGAUUAAGGGAAGGGAAGACAUUGGUACGUGGAGGAAGACUUUUUGAGCAAUAUAUUGUUGAUCCUUUCACAUGUAUUGAAGAAGAAAGACUGCAAUACAUUAGAAGAAAUCAGGCGAAUCUUAGAACUGAAAUAUAAAAAGGUAUUAGAGAUGCUGUUGUUGAAGGAGAUGUAGAUGGUAAUACUAUUGGUAAACGAAUUAUAUUGCCUUCGAGUUUUACUGCGGGUCCUCGCUAUAUGGUUCAAAAUUAUCAAGAUGCCAUUGCUAUCUGCAGGCACUCAGGGCCUCCCGAUUUAUUCAUAACAUUUACCUGCAAUGCACAAUGGCCUGAAAUUAGAGAUGCCCUGGAAUUUAUUAAUGGCCAAAAAGGUGAAGAUCGGCCUGAUAUUAUUAGCAGGGUAUUUAAGCUGAAAUUGGAAGUUUUAAUGGAUGAUAUUAAAAAGAACCAAUAUUUCGGUAAAUCAGUGGUUGGUAUGUCGCUAUACAAUUUAUGUUGGCCUCAACUUUACAAUUAACUUUAUCGUUUUCUUAUCGCAUUUGCACCAUUAACUUUUCCCCUCUAACAUUUGCCUGCAGAGUUAUAUACCGUUGAGUUUCAGAAGAGGGGCCUUCCUCAUGUUCACAUGCUGAUAUGGUUACAUACAGGCCAUAAAUAUCUUACAACCUCAGAGAUAAAUUCAAUUAUUUCUGCAGAAAUACCUGAUCAAAUUAAUAAUCCAAUCGGCUAUGCAUCAGUUGCUAAAUUUAUGAUACAUGGUCCAUGUGGAUUAGCUAAACCAGGAGCCCCAUGUAUGAUAAAAGGUCGCUGCUCAAAAUAUUUUCCAAAAGAAUAUAUAAAUGAAACGGUUAUAUCUGAGGAUGGAUUUCCUAUUUACAGGAGAAAAAAUAGCCAUUUUCGUGUAUUGAAAGCUGGUAUUGAACUUGACAAUAGAUUUGUUGUUCCUCACAACUUGCAAUUGGUUAUUAAAUAUCGGGCUCAUAUUAAUGUUGAGUGGUGUAAUAAGUCAAGGCUAAUAAAAUACUUAUUCAAGUAUAUCAAUAAAGGUCCAGAUAGAUCUGCAGUGGUUUUAGAAAAUAAUGUCCAUUAUACUGAUGGAGCUCCUGGAAAACAAUACAAAAAUAUUGAUGAAAUUAAGCAAUAUUUAGAUUGUAGAUAUUUAUCAGCAUAUGAGGCGAUUUGGAGAUUGUUCCAAUUUGAUAUCCACUUUAGGCAUCCAUCUGUUGAGCGGUUAUCUGUUCACCUACCGAUGAUGAAUAACAUAACAUAUCAUGGUGCUCAAAAUUUAAUUAAUGUCCUCAAUCGUCCGAAUGUUGAGAAAACAAUGUUUACGGAAUGGAUGCAUACCAAUCUCAAUUAUAAUGAUGCUCGACAAUUAACAUAUGCUGAAUUCCCAACUGAAUGGGUUUGGCAUUCAAGUGAUAAAUUUUGGUCGAGACGAAAACAAGGAUACCGUAUCGGCAGAAUAGUUUACAUUCAUCCAAAUGCAGGAGAGCUAUACUUUUUACGCAUGCUUUUAAAUGUAGUUAGAGGGCCAAGAAGUUAUGCAGAGAUUAGAACUGUACACGGUGUCGUACAUGAAACGUUUCGUGCUGCAUGCGAUGCCCUCGGUUUACUCGGUGAUGAUAAAGAAUGGAGAGAGGCAUUUGGAGAGGCUUCACAGUGGUCAGGCUCAGUUGAACUCAGACAAUUAUUUGCAACAUUAGUGAUUUACUGUGAAGUAGCAGAUCCACUUAAAUUAUGGAAUGAAUAUUGGGAAUUAAUGGCAGAUGAUAUAUUAUAUAGGCUAAAGCGUGUUUUGGGUGUGGAAAAUCUCCGAAUACCUCAACUCGAACUUCAAAACCAUGUCCUAUUUGAGUUGGAAGUUAUAUUCAACAAAAAUGGUAGUUCGCUUACACAAUAUAAUCUGCCGAUUCCAAAUAGGUUGAUUGUUGACGGAUUAAAUAAUAAAUUGCUCGCGGAAGAAUUGGAUUACAAUAGAACCGAAUUAUUACAGGAAUAUUCAGAACUCUUUGAUGGAUUAAAUAGUGAGCAGAAAAUCAUAUAUGAUGCAGUCCUACAUUCUGUAUAUCAAAAUAUCGGAGAUCUUAUAUUUGUUUAUGGUCAUGGUGGGACGGGCAAAACAUACCUUUGGAAAACUAUAAUUGCAAAAUUACGUUCUGAAGGAAGAAUAGUUUUAGCUGUUGCUUCCUCAGGUAUUGCAUCACUCUUAUUGCCCGGGGGAAGGACUGCCCAUUCAAGAUUCAAAAUUCCUAUCAAACUUGAUGAUUGUUCUGUUUGUGAAAUUAAGAAAGGCACGCACCUUGCAAAUUUAAUUGCACAAGCUUCUUUAAUUAUUUGGGACGAGGCUCCAAUGAAUCAUAAAAAUUGUUUUGAAGCUUUAGAUAAAUCCCUAAAAGAUAUUAUGGUGACAGAUGAACCAAAUAUUUGUAGUAAAUUGUUUGGAGGAAAAACUAUUAUUUUGGGUGGAGACUUUAGGCAAAUUCUUCCAGUUGUCGUUGGCGGAACUAAGCAAGAUAUUUUAAGCGCGUCGCUUACAAGAUCAUACAUAUGGAGUAAGUGUAAAAUCUUCCGGCUUUCUACGAACAUGAGAUUACUUCGAGGCUCAAUAGAUGGCACAAUGGACACUUCUUUAUUAGAAUUUAGUCAAUGGGUUCUUGAUGUUGGUGAUGGCAAAAUAAAUGCUGUGAAAUUAGAAGGUGAAGAAGAACCAACUUGGAUCAAAAUUCCUGACGACCUGCUGAUAAAAGUUAGCAAAAAUGGUAUCGAAACGAUAGUUUCAGAUAUAUAUGAUCAUAUUGAGGAAAACUACAAUGACCCUAAUUAUCUGCGAGAUAGAGCUAUCAUUACACCUAGGAAUGAAGGUGUCGAUGAGGUCAACAGCUACGUACUCUCUUUGUUACAAACUGACGCCCAAUUAUAUUUAAGCUCAGAUUCAAUAUGUAGUUCAUCAAAAAAUGCAGAGGAGAAUAAUUUACUUUAUCCGGUGGAAUUUCUAAAUUCUUUAACAUUUAAUGGAGUUCCGAAUCAUGAAUUAGUUCUAAAAGUGGGAAGUCCAAUUAUGCUGCUUCGUAACAUCAACCAAAGUGCCGGUUUGUGUAAUGGAACUCGAUUAAUUGUAACUCAACUAGCUCCUAGAGUUGUCGAAGCACAAAUCUUUACGGGCAACCAUAUCGGUGAGAAGGUUUAUAUACCCCGCAUAGUAAUGAAUGUAGUAGAAUCUAAAUGGCCAUUUGUGCUAAAAAGGAGACAAUUCCCGGUUCGCGUGUCUUAUGCAAUGACUAUUAACAAAAGUCAAGGUCAAACAUUGCAAAAAGUAGGCAUUUAUUUAUCGCAUCCUGUUUUUUCACACGGACAACUUUAUGUGGCGAUUUCUCGAGUUACUUCACGAAAAGGGUUAAGAAUUCUUAUCGAAAAAAAAGACAAAGAACCUGAGGGGUAUACAAGAAAUAUUGUUUUUCGUGAAAUAUUUGAAGAUUUAGAGUAAUAUAAUCAGGUUUGCUUCAUUUCUUUGAGAAUUACAAAAAAAUAUAUUGCAUUAUUUUUUCCAUGAUAUUAAUGUCUCUCUCCUGUUAAUAAACAGAUUCUUCAUCCUACAAUGGAAAAUGUCCUUUUAUCACAAUUAUCACUACACCAGCAACCUUGCAAAAUCAAAGUUCGUAUCUGCCGGAUUUGGGAAUCAACUACUCCAUAUUCAAAGGGAGAUAUUUUCAGUCUAGAUUGUCUAUUGGUAGAUAAGGAGGUGCUCAAUUUUUCCUCCAGCGUAACAAUUUAUACAAUGUGUUCUCUAUUUUUCUGCUGCAUAUUCUUUUGUCACAUACUUUUUUUGGGGUACCAGGAGUUUUCGAUGCAAGCAACGAUACGCAAGCAAGACGCAGAAGACCUUAAAUGCCGGAUUACAGAAGGCAAGGUGUAUGUAAUAGAGAAAUUUAGCGUAAUUCCAACUAGGAAAAAAUUUGUGGCUGUCGAUCGUUAUUACAUGAUUCAGUUAAGUAAGUCGACACAGUUUACUGAAGUUGAAGAUGAUUCAGAAGGAAUCCCAUUACACAGUUUUAAUUUCUCAACGUUUUACGAAAUUAAUAAGAAACAACACAACGAUUCGAUUUUAACAGGUACCAUUUAUUGCAAAUAUUAUUUACUUUUACAAAUACUUAUGUAUAUCUAAUAAUUGCACGUGUUAUGCUGCACAGAUGUUGUUGGAAAAAUUGCGGCUAUCGGUGAAAUAACCCACAGAUAUAUUAGCCAAUCACUACCUCCAAUCAGAAAUUUAGAGAUAGAAGAUUUUGAGUUAGUGAUUCAUAUUUGCAAAUCAUCUUAUUUCGACUGGCUUCAUUACUGCUGCUGAAUUAAUAUAAUUUAUUUUGCAGGAGAACCACUAUGCCAGCGACGUUAUGGGAUAGAUUUGCGACAGAUUUUGAUGAGGCGAAUAUUUACGAGGAAGAGAAAAGCACUCCUAUAAUCAUAAUUCUUGCUGGAAUGACAGUUCGAACGUAAGGUUACGACAUAAACAUAUAAGUUUAAAUUAAAAUGCUAUUAUUAUAUAUAAUAUUGUUGACCUAUUACUUCGGUUUUUUUUCAAUACUUCAAUAUAGAGAAAGUACAUUUAUCGACAUGCUCAGCAUCGAAGAUAUAUUUUAACCUCAAAAUCCCUGAAGUUCUGGAAUUUCUGAAUAGGUUUGCCGCUAAGUAAAGUUUCCUUUAAUUUCCCAACCUUUAAUACAUUUUAUCACUAUACACAUUUUUAUUUAAUGCAGGCAAGGCGAAGAACCUAAUGCAAUCCAACGCAUAACUUAUGGUGAACAAAAAAUCAUUUCUCCUCUAGAAGAAAUGUGCCAAAAUAGAAAAAAAAUUGCUGAGCUACUAAACCCAGACCUUUCUGAUUUCGGAGUAAGUUUAUAAUCAGAUAGCCAAAUAAAAAUUUUACUGCUUCCACUAUUUGUCAGUAUAAUUUGUUUUCCCGCAUUCUAUCUGUGAAUAGGAUGUAAAGUUCACAUGCGAAGCUAAAAUUGUGAAAAUCGAUACAUCCUAUGGCUGGUGGUAUAAAGCAUGCCAUAAUUGUAAAGCAGCCGUGAAGGAAUGUGAUGAUAUAUUCUGGUGUGCCCGUUGCAGUAACAACGAUCAAUCUCCUGUUCCAUGGUGAAAUUUACUAUACCUUUAAAAUAUGAAACCCUGUGCCUGAUUAUUAUACUGACGUUAAUGUCUAAUUCUUCUAACUUUUACAAAAUUAGGUAUAAAUUGAGCGCAGUAGUUGAAGACUCCAGCGGGGUAGCCAAUUUUACCAUAUUCGGCCAAUUGGCUUAGGAUCUUAUUCGUAUACCUCCACAAAUUUUAGCAGCAGCACCUAAUUCCGAUAAAUUUACACUUCCUGUGGUAAUACAAACAAUUAUAAACCAAACACAUAUUUUCCAAAUCAUGGCUGAUUCACAAAGAUUCAGAACGAGCACUCCAUCCUUUAAAGUCCUUAAAACUUUUACGAUCAACAACGAUGCAAAAGGUAAAAGACAAAACAAAGAUAAUAUAUUUAUAAAAUGUGAAGAUCAGCCAUACUCAUCUACAAAUAAAAAACAAGGUCAGCCAGAAUAUUUGGAGGAAAUCUCUCCCACUCUAGCCACUUCUUCGAGGUUAGUUUUUAUAUGUGUAUAUGUUUCUUAUUGCCGAAAAUAAACAUUGAACAUUUCCUAUUGACGCCAAAAUUGUUGGAUUUAUUUCUGUAACAGUUCAGCACUACCAUCUGAUCAAUUAUGUGAAAUCCCGCACAGCUCAACACAAUCGUCCAAUCAAGAAUGUGAAAUUCUGCAUAAGAAAAGACGUCGUCUUACGUACAACCCUUUUUUUCCCCCCAAUUACUUAUAUACCUUUGGAAAAACCAUGUCUUUCUACAUUACAACCUAUUUCUGGUACACGGCUAAAGUUGAAAUCCUGUUGAAUUACUAUUUUCACAAUAUGUUGUUCAAUAACUGUAGAGCAUAUUAGAGUUAUUUUUUAAAACAAAGUUGGGAUUGGACAACUAUUUUUGAAACAUGUAGAGAGUAUAUAACCAAUCAACACUGAUCAGAUCUUUUCGAGCAUCUUUUUUUCCCCCCACAGGAGCUUCAUUUGAUACUUGCCUAGAAAUACUAACAUUAUAUAAAUAACUUUGCAGUUCGUAUAAUCUUGGUGAUUUUUUUUAAUCAAGGUUUAUCUGUAAAUAUAUGCCACUUUCCAAUUGCAUGGAUCAACAAACCUAUGUUGUAUUAAAUAUAGUAUGUUUAUUCUGGACAAUAUUUAUAGUCCAAUACUAUUAUGUACUUUCAAUGUUAUGUGAAUCCUCGCUCAGUUACUAUAUUUUGGCUGUAUUCUUCGUGGAAUCUUUAAUCACCCAGCUAAAUUAUGUUUUCCAGACACCAAUCUUUAUGCUGCUCGAUUGGUUCAACUCCUAGGCAUCCAAGUUUCAGCAUGAAUCUACCUAAACUUGCUAUACUCUAUACCUGUAAUCAUUAAAGCAAUAGAUUUUCCCAAACUUUAUGUCGAAACAGACUAUUUGCUUUUCCUACGUAUCUCAAAGAGACCAAAUUGUAUAAGUUGAUUCGAAUACGAUAUACCUCGAAUUCCUUAAUAUGAAUUCCAAAUUCUCAAAACUAUUUUGUACAGAAGACCCUAAUUGCUUACUUAAAUCCUAAAUUAUUUAGUUGAAUUUGAAUGUACUGAUUUAGAAUUAUCCAAUUAAAUUGUGUUACAUGAAAAUAACAUCAAAGUCAUUUCGAGUGCUUUCUAUAAAUUCCCUAACCGAAUCUUUUUAUUUUUUUGUUUUAACAAAUCCUUCAGUUUAAUUCCAUAUCAGAUAGUUAUGAUUAGAUGUGGGGUAUAUAAUCUUAAUUAAUUGGAAUAGAUAUAAUAACUGGGUUUAAACAUUGUGGGCCGGUGAUUUUAACAUAACGAGUUAUUAUUGCAAGCGGAUCAGAUUGUUACAAUCAGAUCGUUACAUUUAGUAUCUGGAUAGGGAGGCCUCCGUGUUCCUAAACCGUUAGACGAUCGACUCCAGUAGACUUGAUCUAGCAUAUUUGAAGUAUCUAGAAAAUAAAUUUUAUGACUUCUCGAUAUCAUUCACCUAACAAUCGAAAGGACUAAAUUGUAAUCUUUUAAUUGUUAUUAAAAAUUAUGUAGAUAUUACAAAUAUUUCCCGCUGCGAAGCGCGGUCAUUUCUAGUAAAUUCAGAACUAUAGUAUCGAUGUAACUUAUCAAUGACUUUCCUGCCUAACUCCUUGCCCUCAUCAGCUCAGCCCGUUAAAUUUCUAAUUUGAACUGUAUCAAGAUAUUUUAUAGAAUUACAUGAAAAAAAAAAUUAAAUUCAACAGAAUUCUAUAUAGAACCUAAUCUUUAAAAUUUGUUAACUUAUAUUUUGGGAUUUAAAAUUGUUAAAAUAUAAUGUUUUUAUAUUGUUAGUAGUAAAUCUUCUAAUCCAAACUGCUUCAAAUAUCACAUGGUUCAUGUUUUACAACAGAAACUCCUUUCCAGUAAAUUCGGAACUAUAGUACCGGUGUAACUUAUCAAUGACCUUCCUGCCUAAUCCCUCGCCCUCAAUAGCUCAGUUACCUUGAUAUUUGAGAAUAGAAACAAAAUAAAAUAAAAAACAUGAUAUUUCAUGUAUAUAAAGUUAAAAAAACUGAAUUUUGAUCUAAACUACUUCAAGAUAUUUGAUGCAUAUAGAAGAUUCGAAUUCAAAACGAUGACUUGCCCCUUAAAUUUCCGAUUUGAACUGCAUCAAGAUAUUUUAUAGAAUUGCAUGAACAAAAUUAAAAUCCAACAGAAUUCUAUAUAGAAUCUAAUCUUUAAAAUCUGUUAGCUUAUAUUUGGGAUUUAAAAUUGUUAAAAUAUAAUGUUUUUAUAUUUUAAGUUGUAAAUCUUAAAUUCAUUCCCUUUAACAAAUUCAAAUCAUAAAUUUCAAAUAUAUUUUGGAAAAUAUAUUUAUUUAUCCAUUCCAUAUUUCCUUCUCUCUCACUCUUACUUUUUCCUGCUAAUUUUCUGCUGUUUUUUAAUCGCGCAAAAAUAGUUACUGGUAUUAUUUAGUUUGAUUAAAUUUUUAAAUAAAACUCACCAACCAGUCACCAUGUGAUAUUUGAUGUGAUAGAAACUCUCUUCCAUCAAAUUCAAAACUAUAGUAUCGGUGUUGUUUAUUGAUGAUCUUCCUGCCUGACCCUUUACCCUCAAGAAAAAUUUUAAAAAAAAACAUGAUAUUUGAAGGAUAUAGAGUUUAAAAUUACGAAUUCUGAUUUGAACUGCUUUUCCUUAAAUUUCUGAUCUGAACUGCAUCAAAAUAUCUAAUAGAAUUACAUGAAUAAAGUUAGAAUCCAACUUUCACCUAUUCCCGAUUCCCUUAAAUUUUAUAACCAACUUUAUUAAAUAAUAUUGAAUUGUCGAUUCAAAAUGUUUUAGAAAUUACAGACAUUUCCCGCCGCGAAGCGCGGGCCUCCACUAGUAUAUAUAUAGUCAUAACUUGAUUUUGUGCGCAAAUUAAGUAAUUUUGGAUGCUUGCAUGUCUUUCUACUCAGAAUCAUAAUACUACUGCAACAAGUAGCCAAACAAAAGAUCAUCACCUACUCUGCAUUUGAGUUGAUCAUCUUGAUCCAAACUUUGUGUGUCAUGUUCUCCAGAGAUUUGAGUGUGUGAAUUAUUUUGUUUGGAAACUUUUAGGUAAAGCAGGAUAAAAAGGAAAUUAAAUUAUUUUGUUUGGAAAUACAACCAGAAGGUGGUUUAGAUGUGCUUGCCUAUUUAAUUUGAGUGCUAUUGUUACAAAAUAAAAAGAAAAGCUAGACCAAAUCAGUACAAUCUAACUUUCAUAUUUUUCAGAAAUUUGAUAUGAUGAUUUUUAUUUGGUAAUUUCGGACACUGAUUUUAUGACUUCUUUUUGGUUGAUCCAGAACAGUUGGAGCUGCGAAAAUUGAAGUGGGAAGCAAGAGUUUCAAUCAUACGGUGUUUGUUAUUUUUUGGCUACAUUUUGAGCAAGUAUUUUUUUGUUAGAACUUAUGUUCGAAAUUUAAUUUGAAUACUGAGAUUGUAAUUUGAGAGUUGAGACUAUUUGUUAUAUAAAUUAUUAAUGCUUUUCGGUUAUUACUAUUUUUUAAUAUUUUAAUUCAUUGUAGUAUUUAGUUGUGAGUAUUUUUUAAUAUUAAUUUGUAAUUGCCGCUAUAAGUUUUAUUUAUCAAUCAUUUAGUAUGUUUUUUGUGGCAAUUAUAAUUAAUUAUAACGGCAUUUAUAAUAGUUUUUAUUAUAUAGUAUUUACCGGCAUUUAUAAUAGUUGCUAUUUUAUAUAUUUAGCGGCAUUUAUAAUAGUUGCUAUUAUAUAUAUUUAGCGGCAUUUAUUUGAAUUUUUACCAACCGCCGUAAUAAAUACCGCUAUAAGUUUUAGCGACCCUACCUAUAGCGGCAAUUGUCAUAAUUGCCACAGAACUAUUUAGCGGCAAUUAUAAUUACCGCUAAUUUAAAAAAUAAUUGCCGCUAAAACCUAAUUUUGUCGUAGUGAUAAUUUACAACAGAGUGUGCCCGUAGGGUAUACAAACUCUACAAAUGUAGUUUACAACAGAGUGUGCCCGUGGAGAAUACAGACUUCGGAGAUCUAACUUAAAAACUACUCUUAGGAAAGCAGUAAAUGCGAGUAAAAAAGAUUACAUUUAGACUACUCCUAGAAAAAUAAUAAAAUUGCAAGGAAAAUAAGGAUGGUCUUCUCGUUCAGGAGGGAGAAAGACCCAUAUUGUAGGCUUUGAAAUUACUAUUUAUAGUAAUAUCAACCUACAUUAUUCGUUGGUUGAAAGUAGUUGGAGUAGUUGUGACCAUGAUCGUGGAAGUUACGUCCACUUCUCAUGGAAGUUACGUCCUACUUCUCUUGGUAGUUAUGCUUCACUUUAUGGAAGUUACACCCCACUUCUCAACCAUUCCCGCCUAAACGCUUUUGACCUUUAGGCGCUUUAUUGCCGACUCUUGGUGUACCGCGUGUCUUUAGCUCAUAUGUGGGUUAAGUCGGCAUGUUAAUUUUAAUUUUGGCAUCAACAGAGAUCAGGUUAGAG
rnacentral:lncRNA from 1 species